rnacentral:lncRNA from 1 species
UAUACUGGGGUCUGUGCUCUUGACAAGCAGUGUUUCCAGUCUAGCUCUGUCAAAUCGGGUGUGAAGUGUCCAUCUAGGUUCUGGCUGGUAGAGCACAGGACUGAAAAUCCUCUUUAGUUUCACGCAUGGGACUCUAAAUCCCAAUUGCGCUAGCUCUGUGGUUCGAUUCCACAACAGAACGAACAAUGAAUGAAUGUGGGCGGUCAACCAGGUAAGCCUGUGCCCAGGAAAGAAAGGACUAGGGAGGGAUUGAGAGAAGCUUUCACAGUGGAAAAUGAAAAAAAAGCAUAUCGUUCUUAGAAAUUGUGGAAUUUGACUCAGUUAGAGCUAUGGUUUAGCAUCAAGAGGGAAGUUUUGUAAAAGCAACAGGAAGAAUUGCUCGGAUACCCCGUGAGCGUAUAUAACUUGGGUCGUGUUAUAAAUGCUCUGGCUAAACCUAUUGAUGGGAGAGGCAAAAUUGUAGCUUCCGAAUCUCGCUUAAUUGAAUCUCCUGCUCCAAGUAGAAUUUCCAGGCGUUCCGUAUACGAACCUCUUCAAACAGGGCUUAUUGCUAUCGAUUCGAUGAUCCCUAUAGGGCGCGGUCAGCGAGAGUUCAUUAUUGGGGACAGACAGACUGGCAAAACAGCAAUAGCCACAGAUACAAUUCUCAAGAAAAAAGGGCAAGAUGUAAGAAGAACGAGAGCGAGCCUUCACGAAAGAAAAUGCAAGUGAAAGAGAAUUGUCAAAAUUUCCUAAAAGCGGUGGUUCUUUUCUUUAUGGAUCGGGUAGAUCCAUAUGUUCUGAGGGGGAGACGAGGUGUAGCGCAGUCUGGUCAGCGCAUCUGUUUUGGGUACAGAGGGCCAUAGGUUCGAAUCAUGUCACCUUGAUGUGGUAUUCACACAAUGGGGCCGAAGUGCAAAGCCCCGUAGCCUAUCCGCGGUCGGGAAGGCAGGCGAAAAGCGCGCACAAAAGAAAAAGAAAGCUAAAAAGCUUAUUUUGCAAUCCAUUAUCUUUGGUAUUCUUCUCUAUUUAGAUCAUAUUAUAUAGCUAUUUCACAGGAUUUAUUUACAUACCUCAGUCAUGUUAUUUGUCUAGCCUUCAAUCAGAAUAGCCUCUCCACCGGUUCCAAAGAUUCUUUCGGCAUCAAUGUGCUUUUGGAAUCUUCCUAUGAAACAAAUAACAUUCUGGAACAGUUUAGGACAGAACAGGCCUCAGUAGAAAGCGAGCUUUUUUCGCGUAUAGCCACCUCGAAGCCCAAUUAGCGCACGGGCUGCCCCCUCAACUCAACCCUGACGAGUACGCAAACUUGGUCAGGGAGCAUUUAGACGGUGCAGUUAGUAUUGACCACUACCGCCAAGUCCAUAAUUCACAAAUUGAUGAAGUCCACAUAAUGGAGCUCAAAAGCCGAUUACCAAAUCUACUUUUUUAGCAUCUUGAAACCGCACAUAAGAAAUAUUAUGAAUGAAUCACCUUACAAUAACAUACGAGAGACAGCUUUCUAUUUUGUCGAACAACAAGUCGAACCCAAUGAACAAUUCCAUUCAAAGGAAUGUUCUAGAGUUUUUUCCACUAUAUUCGCGAUAUUUAACAAAAUGGAAUAAAUUCUUCACGAUUUCUAGAGUUCCGGGAUUACUUCACUGAUAUCGAUUUUCGCCUAAGCACGGCCUCUAGGUUAGUUCAAAGUGUAAUACAACGAACUAUCGAUACACCGAAAACGAGUCAAGAUGGAUACAUAAAAUGGAGACAUCGUGGAUUACCCAAAUUGGGACGACGAUAGGACAUUUCACUUUCUUUCGCAAUAUUUCUGAUCAUGACUCAACCACUAGGAAAGGGGAUUGCUUACUCUCAGCCACGUUUUCGCUUAUGCUUAGUCAAGUGAGGAUUCCAUUCGAAGUAACGUAACAGGAGCACCAUCUUCAAAACUUCUCGGGAUCCGGAGUUUUUCGAUAAAAGGUCCCAUCCUUCAAUAUCAUGAUUGGGUCAACCAGGCCAGAUCAUAAGUGAAAUAGUUUGAUCGGGUCGACCAGGUCAGGCCCGAUCAUGAGUGAAUAGAAAAUCGAAAACGUACAUAGCUGUUCCAGCGGAAAUACUUUGUUUAAUUCUACCACUUCUACUAGGAGUAGCCUUUUUAGUGCUAGCUGAACGUAAAGUAAUGGCUUUUGUGCAACGUCGAAAGGGUCCUGAUGUAGUGGGAUCGUUAAUAUGCUUAGUACGUGCAUGUUUAGAUCAGAGUCAGUACGUCAUCAACUUAGUCAAUGCCAUGCUAGUGAUUUACUCAUGGAUUAAUUUAAUCAAAAAAUUGCCUAUUUAUUCAACAAUCCAAAAACCUAUUAUGUGUAGGAAUUUCCCGGCAAGUGGCUUUGCUGCUGCACUGAAACCGGACAAGUUUACCGGUACAUACUUUAAGCGUUGGCAGACUAAGACCACGUUAUGGCUCACGGCUAUGAACGUGUUCUGGGUCGGGAACGAUUGCUCCUGAACAGGAGAAGGCGUUCAAGGAGGCUAGCGUUGUGUUUCUCGGAGCAGUUUUUAGCGUGAUCGAAGAUAAACUGGUCGACGCAUAUUUACAUGUGCAUGUCGCCAAGGACUUGUGGGAGGCGCUCGAAUCUAAAUUCGGGGCCGCCGAUGCAGGGAGCGAGAUGUAUAUUAUAGAGCAGUUCCACGAUUACAAGAUGGUUGAAAACCGUCCUGUAUUGGAGCAGGCUCAUGAGAUAAUAUGCAUUGUUAAGGAACUUGAGCUUCUCAAGUGCGAGUUACCGGGCAAGUUUGUCGCGGGCUGCAUAAUCGCUAAGCUCCCUAAUUCCUGAAGGAACUUUGCCACCACUCUGAAACAUCAGAGGCGUGAAUUCUCUGUGGAGGAUGUCAUUGGNNNNNNNNNNNNNNNNNNNNNNNNNNNNNNNNNNNNNNNNNNNNNNNNNNNNNNNNNNNNNNNNNNNNNNNNNNNNNNNNNNNNNNNNNNNNNNNNNNNNNNNNNNNNNNNNNNNNNNNNNNNNNNNNNNNNNNNNNNNNNNNNNNNNNNNNNNNNNNNNNNNNNNNNNNNNNNNNNNNNNNNNNNNNNNNNNNNNNNNNNNNNNNNNNNNNNNNNNNNNNNNNNNNNNNNNNNNNNNNNNNNNNNNNNNNNNNNNNNNNNNNNNNNNNNNNNNNNNNNNNNNNNNNNNNNNNNNNNNNNNNNNNNNNNNNNNNNNNNNNNNNNNNNNNNNNNNNNNNNNNNNNNNNNNNNNNNNNNNNNNNNNNNNNNNNNNNNNNNNNNNNNNNNNNNNNNNNNNNNNNNNNNNNNNNNNNNNNNNNNNNNNNNNNNNNNNNNNNNNNNNNNNNNNNNNNNNNNNNNNNNNNNNNNNNNNNNNNNNNNNNNNNNNNNNNNNNNNNNNNNNNNNNNNNNNNNNNNNNNNNNNNNNNNNNNNNNNNNNNNNNNNNNNNNNNNNNNNNNNNNNNNNNNNNNNNNNNNNNNNNNNNNNNNNNNNNNNNNNNNNNNNNNNNNNNNNNNNNNNNNNNNNNNNNNNNNNNNNNNNNNNNNNNNCCCACAUCAAUAACAACACAUAGAUCUCACUACUUUCAGAUACAGAGGGAGAGGAGUUCCCCCAGUUGUGAUUUUCUGCAAUUACACCUUGUGGAAAUUGCACAACAGCGCACAAUUUCAAACCAAUACGAUCACGAUAUAAAUACACACAUGAAGAGGAGAAAUGGUCUCCACUUCUCCUUUGAGCACAAACCAACAAACGAGGGAUACAACCAGAACAACAAGCAUGGCUCAAACACAACAAACAUCGACAACAACAAUCCAAGAAAAAAAAUUGACUGAAACUUUGCAAGAUUUCAGGUGACCUCACAUUAGAUAGCAGGUGAGAAGGCCACGGAAUGGGCCACGCCCACAGCUGCGGCGGAGUCGUUUGAGCGCCAUCCGCAUCGAUGGUCUUUUCUUCGGAUCCACAACGGUGCAAUCCACGCCCAGCCUAAACACAGUUGCCAUCUCCUCCAUGUACCGCGCUUGAUCUGGGAUGCCCUUCUCCAUGGCACUCUCGAACGUUUCCACUUGUUUUGCCAUCAGUCCAGUGAAGUGGUGCGCCCAGAUCGCCAAAUGACCAUCGGCUCUAGCUUCAUUGGCCACCCGCCCGGUGACGAGCUCCAGCAUCAGCACACCAAAGCUAUAAGUGUCUACCUUCUCUGUCAGUUGGCUUGCUGCGGUCGCAUAUUCUGCAGUUAAUCAUUUGUUGGCACUAGUUAACAGACAAAGCUAGUUAAGACAAGAGUUUCCUGUAAUUAAGAAAAAGGUAAGACAUCACAUAAUUCCAUUGCAUACAUAAACCGCCCAACAUACCUGGAGCUGCGUACCCAAAGUUACCAAGAGGCAGGUUCGCGAUUGGCAACGGUUGGUCGUGCCCGGCCAUGUUCAUCUGUGCAGCAUCAAAACUAGCUAUCACAGCAUUGAAAUUUUGAUCAAGCAAGAUGUUCUUAGAGUUGAUGUUGUGGUGGACAAUCGGCCUGUUGCCUCCAUGGUGCAAGUGACAGAGCCCUUUGGCGACGCCGAUGGCAAUGGCCCUCCUCUGCGGCCAGCUCAGCAGCCGAUCGGCCCCCUCCCGUUGGUGCAGCCAGUAGUCAAGGCUGCCAUUCACCGGGUACUUGUAGACGAGCAUGAUCGCUUCAUCCCUCUCAAUGACAUCUAUGAUCCCGAUGAUGUUAUCGUGACAGUCUCUGGCUAACAGGAUCACCUCUGACUUGCAGCGGUUCUUGACAUUGUCAUCCACCUGUAGUGCUUGGUUCAUGUUCCGAAAUUUCUUGACGACCAGCGUAGCAGGGAGACCAAUGCCAGCAGCACGCUGAACGUGUAUUAAGUACAGUUCGUCCGCCCCUAUCAUUCUGCUAACCAGACAUUUUUCUUGUUGUUUUCAGUAAGUUUGUCGACUAUGUCUUGAUCAUUGUACUCAACCAGCAGCGGCGCCGCGGGAUGGGUCCAGAGCUGCAUUUUCUUAGCGGCGGAGUAGCGCCUGAAGAGGUAUCAACCUGCAAACAUAUUAUAUAUUGGUAGUCAUGUAUUAUUAUCUCCUCCAAAGAUGUAUACACAUAUACUUACUAAGAGAUGUAAAGAGAGAGAUGCAUGUUUGUAAUUAGUUUGACAGCAAGAUGUUGACAGGAAACACCACGGUUCCCAUACAUGGAACACGUAAGGGUCAGACUACUGAAAUCUGAAAUUGGCGGUCGCCUGCACCUAGUUUAACCUACUAUAUCUUGUAUCGAUAAUUUGAUAUAUUCUACAAGGUGAACAUCCUCUACUACUCCUACUCCUAGGAUUCAGUUACUGGUGCAAAACAGAUGAGAACAUUCAGAAGACAGAACCCAGCUGCAGAUCAAAAUUCAUGUAGUGCUGCUUACCACUUACUCAGAGAGAGGAGAGGAGGCAUGAAAUUGGUUGAGGGGAAAUGUAGAAGGAGAAGAGAGGAGCGUAUUCACCACAGGAAUUUGACGGUUAAUCACCGGCGGUGGCGGUCGGAGUUGGAGAAGAAAAGCUGAAGUACGGUGCAGUGCACGGGAGCUCGAAGCUGCGAGGAACCCGACCAUGCCUUGUUGGGCGUACCGGCAGACCGACGGUGGGCCUCCCACUGGGGCACGGCCAGCCGUCCCAACUCGCCUGCGCAACAAGAGCUUCAUCUCGUCCGGAUCCAGACCCGGCGGCCUUCGCGGCGACUACUGGCGCCGACAGAUCGUGGAUAAGGGGAGCUCUCCGGCUCCCUCGUAUCCACACGGAUCCACGCCGGCGAACCCAACCCAACGCCGAUGGGGAGGAGAAGAGAAGGGGAAGCGAGGCAAAUUUGAUAAUUUGCCACUCCUUACUUUUCCCUUUCAUAAUUUGCCCCCUCUGAGAAUGACAGGUGGGGCCCGGGCCCGCCCGUCAUUGAGAUAAUGGGUGGCAAAUUGUGAAAGGGAGAAGUAAAGGGUAACAAAUUAUCAAAUCGCCCGGAAAGCGAAGCCAGGAGAGAGAUAUGAGGUGGUCCGUCUGGGGUUGACCUGCCAGGUCUCUAUCUAUCUAUCAGCCAGCUUUUCCUACGUCAGCAAUCAAUGCUUUGUGUGGACAAAUGCUAAUCUAAUUCAAACUAAACCAGUACUCCCUCCGUUCGGAAUUACUUGUUGUAAAAAUGAAUAUAUUUAGAUGUAUUUUAGUUUAGAUACAUUUAUUUUUAUUCAUUUUUACGACAAGUAAUACAGGACGAGGGAAUAUAUGUUUCGUACCCUGGAAUUUCGGACUAGUAGUUUUGAACCAAAUUCAAAUCAAAUUUGUUCAAGCUUAAACUUUAGUCGAUGUUUGCUAAAAUCAAGAGAGUCCAAACUGCAAUAAUUCUGAAACGGUUUUUGGGCAGAAGUUGCAAAUAUUAUUAUUUUUUGUUUACUUUUGCAAAAUAAGUUGCAGAUAUUUUGAGAGGUGUAUGUGUGAUUUCUACAUUUUACUGAAUAAUUGAGAAGCUGUAUGCUGCUAUUAUCUACUCCAUCCGUUUGUAAAUUUAAGUUAUUUUAGAGAUUUUGAUACGGACUUUGUACAGAUGUAUAUAGACAAAUUUUAAAGGAUAGACUCACUUGUUUUGCUGCGUAUUUAGGAACAGAGGGUGUAUGUGGGUUAAUUAUUAGUAUUGGUUUUCGCUUACAAGAGAAAAAUGUAUACAUGCAAUUAAAAAGACGGUGUACCUGGGUUGAGAGCAGAGCAGAUGGCAGCUGAGUAUGAUCAACUGACUCCUCUGUACGCGUCAAAUAUAUUAGCCCAUGUGCUCCCGAUUAGAGUCUUUAUAUAGAUAUCCUGAUGAGGUUACGUACAGACCUAUGAUUUCGCUUUGACGCGUGGAACGGCGACGUAAAGAGACGUUCAUGUUUGUAUGCAUGUUUGUAUUAUUUCGCAUUGACGUCGUAAAGUCAGCUAACCCCCCUCCGCCAAUCACACUUCCUAAAUCACACUUCCUAAAUCAUACUUCCUAAAUCACACUUCCUAAAUAUUAGCAAAUUAGCUGGCUGGACUUGGAGCGGCGGCGGGUGUGUUUCUGCAAAAUUAUGUUGCUUUUGAUCCCAUAUGUGAGAUGUGGUCGACCGCCAUAGAUACGCUAGAAAUUAGAUAUGACGCCCGUAAAGUGACGUUCAUGUUAUAAUCCAGUCGCGGCGCAAGGAAUUAAUGCUUCCCUCGUCAGUGCCGCCAGUUGGUCACGUACAGAUCUGACGCAUGGGCCGAACCAAUCAGGACGUACAGAUCCGAGUAGUAAGGCCAACUCCACCGCGCGACCCUAUCCUGUCCGGCCCUGUCCGUUUGGAGUAAAACGGACAAAGAAGGCGGCCCAGCGCGCGACGGCCCGGACCUAUCUUGUCCGUUUUGUGUCCGGGCCGAUCCAUUUCGAGCGUAAACUUGCGCCGGGUUUGGGUCGCGACGGACACUAAGCGGACGCGCGCCCAGGUCGGCGGCCGCCCACCUCCCACCCACCCACUUCAAUGCGCACGAGCGGGCGGCCCCACCUGUCAUCCGCACGUCGAGCGGUCGCCGUCCUUCUUUAAGUGGGAAGCGUGGACGGGUCGUCGUCCACACUGCCCCACGCCACCCAGCGGCCUCCUCGAACCCCGACAGUGCAGAAACCCUAGCCCGACUCCUCCUCGAGCUCGCCGGCCGCCCACCUCGCUAUGGGCUUCUGGAACGGCAAGGGGAAGCACGACCGCGAGGCCGGCUCCUCCUCGGGGCGCCGCCGUGGCUCCGUGAAGGAGGAGCCCGCGUCUCCGCCGCGCUCCUCCCGUCGGGCCCCCGCGCCACCGCCGCACUCCUCCCGUCGAGCCCCCGCGCCGGCCCCCUUCACCAUUGCCCCUAGGCCCUCCGGCGAGCGCGACCGACAGUACAUCUGCGCGGACGUGUGCCGGAGGUACUGGGAGACGAGGACGCCGGUCCCGUGGAGCGACGCCCACCUCCCCAACGGGUGGCAUCUCUCCGCGGACCGGGUGCCCAUCCCGCCAGUGCCGGCGACCGGCCGUGCAUGGCGCGAUGACAUCAACCGCCGCCGCCGCCUCCUCCCCGAUGACCUGUACUACGACCACAGGUAUGCCCCCGACUCGCCGCUCUGGGACACAUGGCUCCAGGACGAGCACGACGUGCAGCGCGCGUCCUACUUUGCCGGCAUCGUGUCGGGGCCGCGGAGGCCACGUGCAGAGCCGCGCGGGCGUACGCGGGUGCGUGGCCUGACGCCCACGCCGUCGCCUUCCCCGUCUCCGUCGCCCCCUCCCCCUCCUCGCAUGACAGCGGAGGAGGAGGCCCGUCUCCUGCAGCGUGUCAUGGACGAUUCCAUGAACACGCAUGACGAACGGCAGUGGGACGGCCUGGAGGAGGCCAUGGCCCUCUCUGCCGCCGGGGACGUGGCCUUCCCGGAGCUGCAGAUGGCGGCCGUCACGGCGGCGGCCAAGGAGGAGCCAAUGGAGGAGGACUCGCCCGCGUUCGAGAAGCUCCUGGGCAAGGGGUGGGGCUGGUCGUGCACUGCGCCGGAGAUGGCCGCCGACCUGGGCGUGAACUAGUGCCCCACUCCGGAGCGGGAGGCGUCGCCGCGGGAGGAGGUGGUGCAGGCACCUCCGGCCGUCCAGCCCGCCCCCGUCCACCAGGCACCGCCGGCGCACCUCUGGACGCCGCCGGAGUACGUCGACCUCGUCAGCGACGACGACGACACCGGCGGCCAGUGAAGACGGUGACGGCCACGGCACCGACGGGCGCGGCAGGAGCGCGCGGGAGGAGUGUUUUUUCUUCUUAUUAUGUUAAUUAUGAAUAUGGGUCUUUUAAGUGGCCGUUGAAACUGGGCCGUUUUGUGGCCAACCCAUUUAUAUGUUUUAUGUUUUUUUUAAAUGCGUUUAUUUGCUUUUUUAGUUACUUAAUUAUUAUUUUUAAUUCCGCCCGUCCCGAACACGAUUUGGGGUGCGACCGCGCGGUGGGCGCACGCACGACCCAAUGAACACAGCCGAACACGGGCGUACCCAUCGGCUCCCCAAAGGGACAAAUUCGGACUAAUCCGGACGUCCGUUUGAGGUCUCGUGGUGGAGUUGGUCUAAGGUAGUACGUUUUCACGAAAGCUCAUGCUGUAGGCACCAGAAACUAAAUUGGCGCACAUUAGUGAUCCUUAUCGGGCCCCGGCCCACCACUCCUCCUUUGCUCGUUUUCACACGGAAAUUCACUUUGCCUCGUAGGUGUAUAUGCAUCUAUUGUCUACAUACACAAUUUAAUAAGUUAAAAAAAUUGAGAAAAAAUUCUGCAUGCAAAUCCGGACAUUAUAUGUGCACAAGGUUUCGAUAAAGAAGGUCAUCUUUUGUGGCUUCUGUACAAAAGAAAAUUUCCGAUGCUUGAUUACAGCUAUUCACGAGGCAUUUUUUUUAAUCUUUUGUAUACAUGCCACCAAAAAUGUCCCUUUUCACCGAAAUUAUCAGUGCGAACAUAGGAUGUUCAGAUGUACACGCGGGAAUUUUUCUCGAAUUGUUUUAACAUUUUAAAAUGUUUUUAUACAUAUUUCAUAAUAGAUGUAUCUAUACCUAGGAGACAAAACGCCACUCUCAUUCUGAACGACUCCUCCUUUGCUCGUUCAAAACGCCACAUACAAUCUUUAUGUUUGUUCGCUACAGUUUUUCUUCCAUUCGUUCUUUUUUGCUCCCUGAUUUCUCUUAUAGUACUGACAAAAACGAAAAAUAUAAAAGUAUAGAAAAUAGAAAAAGAAAAGUUCACCUAAUUUGGAAAAAAAUAUUCAUUUUUGAAAAAAAAAGUUUUAUUGAAUUUGAAAAACGUUCAUCGAUUUUGAAAAAAAAAUCUCAAAUUGAAAAACUUAGUGAAAUUGAAAAAGUUCAUGCAUCUAGCCAAAAAAAGGAAAAAAACGAAGAAUAAAUAAGAAAAGAAUGAAAAGGGGGUAAUUAAUCAUCAAAUUGGGGUGGCUGAGUGGUUAUUGCCGCAUGCUUCAAAUACAUGUCGACUUUUUAAUACACGUUGUGUGUUUUUCGUAUAAGCACCCAGCAUUUUUAAUAUGCGUUGAAUAAUUUUCAAAUGCACCGUCCACUGAUAUCUACGUAGUACCUCGGUUCAGAUGUUGACUUUUGAGAUUUAUAAUCGCACCCCAUCGUAUUGCAGUUAUCUAUGCCUCCAUUCCGAAGGGGGCUUAUGGGGAGUACCGAGUCUAGACUUCCUUUUCUUCUAGAGGAGCUUAUCUAGUCUAGAUAAAACCAUCAAUGUCAAGACGUGAAAAGUCCUAGCGAUGCGUACAAAUUUAGGCCCAUCAACAGAGAGUGGAUGUCCUGAACGCAGCGGCAUCUGGAGGCUGCAAUCUGACCACACGCUUUUCUCACCGCGAUAUGUGCAUGGCCGGGCGUUAAUUGGCAUUACGAGUAAAAUACCGUCAUAGGCCUGCAGGGUACCUGACUUGGCAGAGGAAGCAGGUCCACAAAAAGGUUGAUAUAUUUCAAUUAUUUACUGUGGUGGGUGGUUGAAGGUUGUGGGUGAUCUGCUCCGUGCAUGCCAACGUGCUGUCUAUGCCUCGUACGCGCUUCUCAGGUCGCCAUCACACUCAUGCUUAGUACAUUGGUGUACUGCUAAUGAGAAAAAAUCUAGGCUUCGUGUUAAAUUAAUACGGAGCAGUUCUUACAUGGCAAAUCUCUAAUUUUAUUCAGUAGCGGUCGGACGCGGCUUGCACGAGUAUCACGGCGAGCAUGAACACGCAUAGCAUUUGUGUGUUCUUGGUUCGCUGCGUGCCUGCGUACGUCCUGCAGUGCUUCCGCCAUCUUAAACCUAACAUUGUUGCCGCCCCAGCAGUUUGGAUUAGCAUAUUGAUGUCCACUCCUGUGAUGAAGUGCGUGUACUGAUCCUCCCAAAGCCAAAAAUCACAUGGUCCGUGCUUCUGCACGUCCCAAACGAAAAUGACAUGUGCAUGUUAAUUAAAUCAACAAGCUAGUUACUUACUGAUUUAUUCGGCCACUUGUAGAAAUGGAUGUCAGGGAGCACAAAGUUGUACUGAUGCGUGCUCUUCUAUAGAGCUGGUAAAAAGAAAUUACAUCAUACAAUAUCGCAAUGGCACACAGCAAUGGUAUCUGCGUUCAUACUGUCAGAAUCACGAAGGCCCAUGCCUGGGGCAACUGUCGGCUCCAUACUGACAUUUGCAGCAUGCACUUGCCUUUGUGUCAGGUUGUACUGCCUAUAAUACAUAGUAUAUACACUACAAAACGUUGUCUGACACCCAUAUACUCUAACUAGCAGCCUACUUUGAUCCGAAUUGCAAGGUUUGCACGCCGUUGAUGGCGUGGGAUCAGAUGCCACUACGUCCAGUGCUGCACUUCCCCCAUCGACAACCCUAAGUGUGCUUCAAACCGAGAGGGAGCAACUAACUAAAGGAUACCUCUUGUAGGAUCACUUUUUGGUAUGUUAGCACGCUAAGGGCAUCUCCAGCCGCGCCCCAGAAAGGCCUUCCCAGACGUUUUUCUUACGCCGGCGCCGAAAAAUCGGCCCAGUCGCGCCUCCAGGAGCCCGAUUUUCGCCGGCCUGGGCCGAAAACAGCGCCGGCGGAUUCAGGCCGAACCCGGCGCGCUGGGGGGCGCCCGGGUGCACCGGGCGAACUUUUUUGGCGUGAAAAAGCCGCGGGCCCGCCGCGUCAGCGACACGGCUCUCUUCUCGCCCCUUCGUCGUCCUCAUCGCCUCGUUUCCCGCGGCGAAUCAAUGCCAAAGCUGCCGCGCUGCCGCGCCGGUCAGCCUGCGCCAUUGAUGCCUCAUGGGCGGCGCAGUGAAGGCUGGACGACGCGCGUCCCUCGCCCUCCCUCGCCCGCCACGCGUACACACGGCGGCCACGCGUACGGGCGGCGUCUCGGCCUAUAUAAGACGCGCACCAGCGUGCUCGGCGAUCACACUCUCUCGCCAUCGUCGUUCCUCCCUCUCCUCUCUCGCCGUCUCCAGUUCAUCACCCAUGGCCGAGCGCUUCCCUGGUGACGGCGCGGCGGCGAACGGCUUCGGCCGCCGCCAUCUCCACGAAGACGAGGCUCGCCUCCUUUACGAGGCCGGGUACCCGGUCCCGCCGGACAUGCGGGUGACCGGCGCGUGGAGGAUCAGCGCCGGCGGCGUGCCGGUGCCACCACCACCCACCGAGGCGGCGCGGCGUGCGGAGAUCGCACGCAUCCGCGCGUCCCUGCCGCGGGCGGCGAGGGAGGGGCCACGGUACGUCCCUGACAGCCCGCUCUGGGAGCCCUACUUCCGCCGCCAUCACGCCGAGCAGCUCGAGGCCACCAACGGCAUCGUGCCCUCCGGCAGGCUCAACUCCAAUGGCCGGCGCCGGUGGUGGGGCGUGCCCGGGCGCACGUUGGAGGCCGUCCUCGAGUACAUCGAGGGUGGCAACACGCCGCGCCUCGAGUACCCCGCUCCCCCGUCCUUCUCACGCCGUCGGGGAAGCUCCUGGACCCCGAGGCGCAUGGAGACCGAGGGGUCCUCCUCGUCGUCCGGUGGCUCGCCCUGCCUCCGCCCCGUCAAGCCGGAGCCCCAGGGCACGCCGGUCAGUGCCCGCACGCGCAGCUCCGGCGUCCGCAUCGGCGCCAACGCCUCCCCACCCACCGGCCGCUUCAUCCUUGUCGAGCCCAAGCCGGAGCGCGGCCUCCCCGCGGAGUACGAGGAGAUAGCCCGGCGCGGCAUCUCCGACGAGGACGCCCUGCGGUGGGCGCGGGAUGACUACCUCCGCGACGAGAUGGUCCGGCAGCGCCGGGCCCUGGAGGAGAUCGCCGCCCGCAAGCAUGGGCGCGAGGACGAGCACGGCGUCGUGGUCCUCGACAGCGACGACGACGCCGCCGCCCCCGGACCGUCCAACCCGCCGCGCCAACCGGGGGAGGGAUGCAGCAGGGACGACGGAGGCGCAGGCAGGGGCGGCGACGACGACGACGGCGGUGACUACAUGCGGUUCUACAGCCUCCUCGGCAUGUAAACCGCGUGGGCGGGCGGUGAGGCGGGCGGCGAGGGAGACGGCGGGGGUAGCCCGCGGAAGUUUUUUUUUCUUUUUUUUUGUAAAAUAUGUUUAAGUUUGAACGAACUCACCGAUGUUUGCGUUAAAUUUCAGUCGUGUUUGCGCCGUAUUUGAAUUUUUAAAAAAAACGUGGGCGCCGCGACUGGGGGGCAUCACGCCCCCAGUGCGCGGUUUAGCGCCGGCGCGCCCCCAGGGGGCGAUUUUUUGCCCCUCCUGGGGGGCCAACGGCUGGAGAUGCCCUAAGUGGUGUGCUCAGCCAACGUCUGCAAAAAGUACAACUGUCUAUGAAUGGAUGCGGGAGAAAAUUUAUGGGUUACCGUUAGAGAUGCCCUUAGAGCAUCUACAGCUGAGCUUUUGCAAAUCCGGUCCCUCAAACGCCCGCGGACGCGACCAGACGCGUCCACGGACAGUGACCUAUCACACCUCAAAUUAAUCACCUUGCAUCUGACUCUCUAAUAUAAAGCAUGCAAAAAAAAAAUCCUACGUACUACCCUAGCUACUCUUUGUCGUCGGAGAUCUCCACGAUGACGGUGCCGGGCGCUAGCUGGACGGGCGUGUAGGAGAGCUCCGGCUCAUCCUCGUCCCGCUCGACCUCAUCCAUAUAGGCGAGCAUCUCCGCCCCCUUCGCGCCUUGCUGCACCUUGUUGCGCCUCCAUCUCCUGCCGGCGACGGUGUCUGGCCUCCGCAGCCGACUCCGACCGGAGGGAAUUAAAGAUGGCCUGCUGCUCCGCCUGCAGAUCCACAUCGCCAGAGUCCCACACUUUCUCCUUCUCCUCCACAUCCUCCCCCUCCGGCUCAUCCUCCUUAUCCUCGUCCUUGUCCUCUUCCACCUCCUCCUCCUCCGGAUCAACUUCAUCUGGAGGUAACCCCGCGGCGAUCCGGGCUUCACGCCUAGCCCGGAUCUGCUCAAUGAGCUCGAGUUGAUGCUCCGGCAUCAGAAAUGGCUCGCUCCUCACCUGACAGCGUGGGGGCAUGGCUACUAGGCGGACGGGUGGAGUGAAAAGUGGCGGCGGCGGCGAACAGGCGUAGAAAAAUGUGGAUGGAUGGUAGGGUUUUGGUGCAGCCGGUCGACUUAAAUAGCCGGGCUAGCCACUACGCGGCCUGCCGGAGCUGUGCCACGCGACACCACCGGUCUGAGACGAAGGAGACGGGCGUUUCCGGCUGGGACCCUGCCGUCAGUCCAACGUGGCGGGCGUGCCCGGACACUCCAUACCCGCCCCAUAUUUGGGUUGGUUAUGAGAGGUGUCGGUCAGCCCGGGUGUUUGAGACCCGUUUGAGGCGUUCAUCUGGGUCAAAAAAUUGUGACCGAUCAGUAAUCGAGCAGGCCGCCCAGGCGUUUGAGGUCAAUUUGGGACGUCCGGGUGUAGAUGCUCUUAGAGCAAAUCCAAUGGGGCGACUCAUUUCGUCCGCGGCCGUCCGUUUUUCGUCCGCGGGCGACCCAUUCUCGGCCCAUUUUUUAGCCGGAUUUGCGUCGGCACGUACACGCGACGGACGCGCACGCGCUCGCCUACUCCUGUCCCCGGGCCCGCUGGUCUGUGGCACAUUGGUCUUCCGUCUCACCCUGCGGCCAACAAGCAACCCUCCCGCCUCCUCCGUCGCCGACGCCGCAGCCCAUUUUUUUCCGGCGACUCUUCCAGCUGCCGCCGCCUCCACAUCCGCCCAGCAACGCCGUCCCUACCCCCUGUCGCCCUCCGCCGCCGUUUUGCCACCGGGGAGCAAACUGCUUCCCACCGCCGCUUCCCCCACCGCACAGCCGCCCGCGACUAAGAAGCUGCCUCGCCGCCCCUGCCACAUCCGACCGGCACGCUCGUCGGACGCUGGCAGGGCAGCUAGCUGGUCUGUGGGCGCCGCGACUCCCCUCGCCGGCCGUCUCCUUCGUCGACGCCCACAAGUUGUUCGACAGUUUGCCAAUGUACGAAAUGGACUCCGCCGACGAGUUCUUUUUCCACAAUUUCCUCUGCGACUCUGACGAUUCGUCGUCCGGCGACGAGGAGGAGAUAUUGGCUGCCGUGUUGGUCCAUCACCACCUCAAUAGCCAGCGGCCGUUGUUCCGUGGCUCCAUUCCGGGCCACCUUCCGGCGUUGAAUCGCAACCGAGAGAGCGGGCAUUUCCUUCUCUCGAAGGACUACUUUGAUACAACAAACCCGUUGUUCAAACAUCACAAAUUCCGCCGCCGGUUCCGUAUGAGUAGGCAUGUUUUCAACCGUAUUAGAGGGGGAGUGGUCAACUAUGAUGACUACUUCGAGUGCAAAGAAGAUGCCGUCGGCAAGAUUGGUUUCUCCUCUUAUCAGAAAUGCACUGCCGCCAUCCGAAUGCUUGCGUACGGAGUGCCCGGUGAUCUCAUUGACGAGUACGUCUGUAUGAGCGAGUCUACAUGCCUAGAGUCCCUGUAUAAGUUCUUCAAGGCUGUUAUUGCUGUGUUUGGCCCUGAGUACUUGAGAGAUCCGACAGGUGAAGAUACAACCCAUUUGUUGGCGAUGAAUGCCAGCAGGGGCUUCUUGUGUGAUCAUGCACAAUAUGAUCGUAGAAGACGAGCGCCCGGAACGUCUGUACGAUCAAGGCUUUCAGUUUCAGGGUGAGAAUGUUGUGCCUGAGUAUGGAAUAGCGGCAACAUUUGAGCAGUUCACUCAAUUUCAUGAAGACAUGCGUGAUUGGGAAACUCACGUGCAACUACAGAAUGAUUUGGUUGAGCAUAUGUGAGCUCAUGUUGGCAACCAAUAAAUGUAUCUUCUUUUAUUCAUUUGCAAAACUAUGUGAAACAUUUUUAUUUGUAUUUGGCCUGUAAAACUAUACUAUUUAUUUGGGCUAACAGACUUAAACAUUUUCAUUUGAUAAUAUGUUGAAUACAAAUCAAUGUACAAUUGGGCGGUCAGUCGGCCACGUCGGCACAUAUGGGUCGGCGCGUUGGGCGCACUGCCGACCCAAAUACAAAACUGGGCGGACGCCGGACGGGCGGCCGACCCAAACGGACAAAAAGCGAACAAAUGCGCCGUCUGUUUGGGUCGGCCCGUUGGAGUUGCUCUUAGUUCAUCGCUUGACCAUCCGGCGAGGUAGUGUGAUCGAUCGGGGGCAUUGUAGGUUGGAUGAAACACGUCUUAGGUUGAGGCCCUAUUUGGUUCAGCUUUUAUCGACGAAUUUCGUUGCCGCGCAGCAGAAUCUGAACCAAAUGGCAAACUCAACAGAAUCUGAUUCCAGAAAUCCGCUGCCAAAAUCUGAACCAAAAGCGGAAGCAGCCCAGGAUGUGCUUUCCAGAGUCCGAUUCCGCUGCGGGCCAAAAUCUGAAAAAGUUGUAUCAACUAGUUUGCCUACAUCUUUUUCACAUUAGAUUUUCCACAACAGAUUUUUUAUAGCUGCUUUUAAAAAUCCACAGCUGAACCAAACAGGGCCUGAGUCUAUCUAGUUUUCUUUCUUUUCGUCUCGGCACAGUAGAUAAAUCGUCAAGUUGAGGUGGGCCAGAGAAACGCUAGAGGUUGUUGGCCUGGGACGAAGCUACGUGCAGGUGCAGCAUUGCUGGAAAAUUCGGUCUCCAUCGAUAUCAGCUUUCAAAACCCUUUAGAUGAGUGAGUAAAUUUUGUAUACGGUUACAGGAGGAUCCCAACAAAAAGCAAUCAAUAUCAACCUUCUCACGUAUACUUGACCGGCAUGACCACACUUUUCAUGAUAAUUUUCGGCCUCCCAUCCGAGCCGCCAUCACUUCCUCUCUUCUCUUCUCUUAGGGCAUCUCCAGCCAGGCCCUCAAAAAGCCUUCCCAGACGCAUUUUUAGACGCCAGCGAGCAAAAAACGACCCACUCGGGGUCUCAGGAAUCAGUUUUAUGCCGGUUUUGACAAAAAUUACGGCCGGCACACGCAAGGCGAACCCAGCACGCCGGGGAGCAGCUGGGGGCGCCGGCGCUGUAAUUUAACUACAAAAGGCCCACUGUCAGCCUCUCUAGUCUCUUUCUUCUCUUUUUUCCUCGCUAGGCCCACCAGAUUGUGCAUGCAAAAGAGGACAAAGCUCUCUCCUCUCUCUCUCCCGCAUGCCCCGCCGCCCCCUGCUCCUCGCUCCUCUACUCUCUCUCUCCUCUCUCCCCUGCUCCUCGCUCCGGCGAGCCGCCUCUUCCUCCUCCCCUUCCUCGCCGCCCUGGCUCUCGGAGGCAUCGGCCCGAGCUCCUCCUCCUCCUCCACCACGUGUCCUUCUCCAACGCCAUGCCCUCGCCUCGCCGCGCCCGGCACGCCGCCGCCCUCGCCUCGCUGUCCCGCCCCAGCCGGCUCCCGCGCGGAGUUGGGGAGCACCAGCCUUGGGCGACGAGGACGGGGACAUGGCGACGGGGACGGGGACAUGGCCAGCACCGGGCGGCUGGUGCAGGGCACGAGGAGGUGGUCAGGCUGCCGUGCCGGUCCUGGCAGCGCGCGCACGCGCAGGGGGGGCGCAGGGGAGGCUGUUUCCGCUCAUGCUCAGGUGGUCGUCCUCGGCGGCGCGGUGGCCGCGAUGCGACGACGGCCUUCCUGCAUGCCAACAGCCAGGCGCGGGCAGGGCCAGCGGAGGCGAGGAGCGGGACUACGGGCGGCAUGGACGCGCUGCUGGAAGGCGAAGCGGCCUUCGAUGGCCCCGCGGCCUCGGACGGGACGGUGGCGAGGACGACAGCCUUGCUUGGGGAGGAAACGGCUGGAGAGUUUCUCGUUUGCAGGACAAAAUUUUCGCCGGCAGCCCUCCAAACGGCGAAAAAAAUACCUCCUGAGGGCUGAAGGGCUGGAGAUACCCUACAAAGCUACAACGAUGGGUUCUGCACCAUGCAUGACGACAUGCAUGGCCGGGCGCGCAAUGCUGCACGCACGAAGCUUCGUCCCGACAGAGACCGAUAGACAGCCGGACGCGCAAUGCGCAACCGUGCAAGUUGCCGACCGCCCGCUGCUUCCGCAAAUCCUGCACGUCACCAUACGAGCGACCAGGUACGUAGCUUUUCUUGGCGAUUCCGUGCCUCAUGCCGACACUACCUUUUCGUUUUGUUUCUUCUUUUUGAGCUAGCACGUUGUAGAAUAUUAUUACUACUGAUGUGAUGCGAGUUAAGGCGUGUUGAAAGUACUCCCUCCAUUCCUUUAUUAAAGGCCACUUCAUAUUUUUAUGUCUUAGCUUUGACCAUCAAUUUUACCAACAACAAAAUGAGUUAUAUGCCACAAAAAGUAUUUUAUUGGAUGCACAUUUUUAUGGCUUUGUACUACAUCCGUCCUGGUUUAUAGGUCCCCUUUGUAGUUUGUGUCAAAAUUCGACCAAUGAUUUAACUAACAAAAUGUUAAUGCAUGUCAACAAAAAUUAUAUCGUUGGAUUUGUAUUUGAACAUAGUUUUUUUAAUGAUAUAAUUUUUUGUGACAUACAUGAACAUUUUGUUAGUUCAAUCUAUGGUCAAAAUUUGACACAAAAUACAAUGAGGACCAAUAAACCAGGACGGAGGUAGAAAUCUAAAAAAAUUGAAAUAAGAAAUAAAAACCAAAAGCAUGUAAGGAAAAUGAAAAAAACUAUAAAAGAAAAAAGAAAUCAGUAGAAAAACUCAGGGAACCUUCUAAAAUGUUCCAAAACCAGUUGCUCACUCGAAGUGGGUCGGCCCUUGUCGCUUUGGUCGCUCACUUCGCUUCAGCGAAACCGCGAUGCCUUGACGCUUACGUGCGGCAAAUAGGCUUCAUCGUUCAGGAAGCAGACUCAUAUAGACAACGCCAUGCACAGGAGGGUACCCGACUGGGGCGACCCAUUGUUGCACGCGGAAACAUGAAAAAUUUUAUCAAAAAAGAAAAUUGCAGUGCAAGGGAUCUAACCAUGAAACUCCCAAGGUUGACCGCUCGUCGCUAGGAACACGAGCUUAUAAGCUUCAGUGCCUAAGUACAAAAAAAACAGACUACUUGAACUAUCAAUCAGUGACCGGGUUUUUUCCCGCUACUUAUUUUAUUUUUUCUAUUACUUUUUUGUUUCUUCUUCAUUUUUUUGUUACUUUUUCUUUUCCAAAAAUGCUCUCCCUUUUAAAAAUAUGUCCAAAAUUUUAAAAAAUAUUUGCCUUUUCAAAUUUGUUCAAUAAAUACAAAUAUUUUCCUUUCAAAAAAUUGUACAAAAAGUUCAAAAAAUGUAUGUGGCUUUUAAAAUUUCUCAGAAUGUCAAAACACUAACAUUUUCUGAAAAGAGCAAACGAAAUUUGGAACACGACCAUUUCUCGAAAUAUGUCUAACAUGUUUGUAAUUUCAAAUUUUGUAUGAAAAUUUUACAAACUAUAACUCUUUUUCCAAAUUGUUAGAUUCCCAACAAUUGAUGUUCAACACAAGUUGCAAACCACCAACUUUGAAAUAAAAAAUAUCAACUUUUUUUAAACACAAACAUUUCUUAAAUUAGUGAACAAAAACAGACACAUUUUUUGAAAUUCUAGAUUUUUUAAAAAAUAUAAACAAUAUUUGAAAACAAGAUCAUUUUUUGAUAUUCUAAAUAAUAUUUCAUAUUUUUUAACUGGUUCCAAAAAUAAUAGUAAAUUUUAAAAAUGGAAAAAAUGAAUUAGCUGAAAACAAAAGAAAAACAAAAAAUAGAAAAGAAAAAAAAACUCUUAGGGCAUGGCCGGUCUGAAAAAAACGUUCGGAAAUUUUGAAACAAAAAUUGCCGGCUUUAAAAAAGCAGUUUGUAAAAGUCUACAGAUACACGGUGGAUGGCAGCCUCAAAAACCCGACCAAAGGGCUCUGGCAUUUGCAGCACAGUGGGAAACAACUCUGAAGGCCGUGAUUGCCAGUUUUGGCGCUCAACCAACCACUGCCCAUAGCGGAGAUUGCAGUUGGUAACUUUGGGUAUACAAGCCCCAGACGCGGGUGAUCGAUGCACUGAAUGUUUUAACUUGCUAGCUUCGUCUUUUCACUAGUACUCUCUCUGGUAAAGGAAUAUAAGAGCAUUUAGAUCACGAAGGUAGUGCCCUCCGUAAAUAAAUAUAAGAGCGUUUAGAUCACUACCUUAGUGAUCUAAAUGCUUUUAUAUUUCUUUAUAGAGGGAGUACUUAAUAAAUAAAUAAUAAAUGCAAAAUAUGGGAUGGCGACAGACCAGGUGACGGAGAAGGUAGAUAUCUAAAGUUUCGGUGCGGUGCUCCUGAAGCUCGUCACGGGGCAGGCUGCCAAUGGAGCUGGAACGGAUGGUCAUUUGGCGAUUUGGGUGCAGAAAAACUUAAGUGAACUGAUGGCAAACCAUCUGAAAAUGUUCAAAAAUGCCAUGGACAAAGGGAUACCAGAUCAAGUGAAGUACAUGGAGGAGAUAGCAACCGUGUUCAGGCUGGGCGUGGAUUGCACUGCCAGGUAUAUAUACGCAGCAAAGGCCGUCCAUGCAGAUGGCUUUCAAACGACUCUGCCGCAGCAGCCGUGGCCAAUUCUGUGCCCUCCUCAGCUGCUAUCAACUCCGAGGUCACUAAGCUGAACCAAGAGCCUUAGUUCAGCUCUGUUUGAAAUGGUGCUAUUUUCUAUGGCCUCUGCACCUUAUUGCUUAUGAAAUAAAGGUGAAAGAGAAGAAAAAAAGAAGGAAAAAGGAGUUCUUUUUUUAGGAUGUACAUCUUGUGUACAGUACACACAUCCUCUGCUUCAAAGAAGCUGCACACACAACCAACUGAAAUCAAGGCCCUGUGAAAUGCAGUUUUUUGCAUGCACAUAUAUACUGCUAGCUAGGACUGCGUGCAUACUCGUUCAUACGUACCUACAUUGCAUUGGAGGCAACAAUGAUCUGCUUACCCAGGACUGGAGUGACUUGCAUGCUGCAGCGUCAAAAUCAGAUUUAGACUAGCUGCAGCUAGCGUGCUAUGUGACAGCCCAAGUAGCAUUACAAGAUUUAUCUGAAACUCAUUCUCCACGGAUUGUAAGAUAGUACUACUAAACUUCUAGUUUUUAGAAACCAGAUCAUAAUGCAAACGAUUUCAGUUUCACCAUUGGGUGGAUGCGUUUGAAGCUGUGGAGUGGAGCCAUGCGUUGCAGGGUGCAUCAAUCCUGCUAAACUCAGUCAGGACCUGAUCCAGCCUGCUGCUGCUACCGCCGCCCCCUCAUACAGCAAUAACCUCACUAAUUUCAGAUACAGAGGAAGAGUUAGUAACCCUGGCUGCGGGUUUUCUCUUUCUCGUGGAAUGCAACCUGAAUUUCACUCAGAUUUUUCUCUUUCUCGUGGAAUGCUACCUGAAUUUCACUCAGAUACCUUUCCAGUUUAUUCUGGCACCAUUAUCUCUUGUCAGAGUGUUCUGUUUCAGCAGCAACUACAUGAACAGUUUUAAUUCUAAAGGGAUUUUAACACAGCACAUAUUCCCACUUAGCUUGGGCUAGGUUUUGAAGUCGCAUAAAGAGAUCAAACUGUAAAGUUCCCAGAUUCAGAUUCAGAUUCAGUUAGAAGCCAAAGUAACUACCCUUUUUCUCGGUUAGCACUACACCAGCACAUAACCCCUUUAACUGCAUCCACAUAUCAGCUGUCUCUCCCCAUAGAGUCAGAACUUUUUUGUGUCUUACUGAAUUGGUGGUUAUCAAUUGUGGUAUAUUCUUAAUAGUGAUUUGCCUCUGCAUAAUUCUACUGUUUGUUUUCCUUCUAUGAAUGCUAACUCUUUCUGUUGCUAGGUGUGAGGACUUGAGCAGCUAUUUGACAUACCAUCGUUCUGUGGACUGUUAUUUGCUAUAUCUGGAUGGCCACAUAUUAUAUUUCAAGUCCUUCAACUCACUGCAGAUACACUGAACUACCCAAAGAGGCCACGAUCCUUAGAAUAUAAAUUCAUGGGUACUUUUUUUUUACUGAUUUCACACUCAGACCAGAGUUGAUUCCCAGGCAUGUAUGACUAUCACUGUCAAACAGUUCCACAAACACAUUGGAUUUUUUGGCGAGCAACAACCGAAAUAGUUUCAUCCAAUUUGCACAUAUCAUGCCUUAUCUAGCAAGAACAGAAACAAUCUUUUGUCAAUUCAUAACUUGGCAGGCACUAGUGCUUCUUUCGUAUCAGAGGAGGCAGAUGGAGUGGUGUGUAAUUACAUGCAAGAUGUACAGAAAAGAAGAAUGUUAAGGAAAACCGCAAAAUGGCAGAGCAUGCGAGAUGGUUGAUUACCGAUCAGGUUCAGUCUGGUCUCCUGAAAGAAAGCUUUCUGUACAUCUGUUUUUGGGGAAUACCCACGGAAACACAACAUAUGAAGCUAUUAGACAGCGGUAUAAUAAGUACCUGAGAUCGCUGUCUCGUGAUGGAAGAAGGCAUUGUAGCAAUGGAUAUGGCAGGGGCACCCUGAUUAAAAAGUAAUAUGGGUGUCAGGAACAAAUAGUCAAGGAAAAAUACAAAUAAUAUGGUAUAAAAACAACAAAGGACCAUAAAAAGGCUGAACCUAGCUAACAAUAGUGAUAAAUGUUAGUACAUGCUCUCCAAGCUAAACACAGACAUGGUACAUGUUCAAGACCUGUUCGAUAGUUCAGCGCUGCUUCAGCAGCAGAAGGAACGUAGAUACUCCCUCUGUUCCAAAAUAGAUUACUCAUAUUUAUUUUGGAACGGAGGGAGUAUAAAUCGUGACCCUGCAAAAUGUAACAAAUAACAAUAUGCCAGAUACUAGUUGCUCAAGUCCUCACAAACAUCAGCAAGAAGUGUCACACAGAGAAGCAAAACAAGCAGUAGAAUUUUGAGAGGUGAACACAACUGGACAGCAAAAUGUUCUAAAAAAAGACAGAACAGUCCACGUCACUACUUGUAGUUGAGAUGUAUCUACAAAUUAAUUCAACCAAGCCAUCAUAUGCAGUGGCGGAGACAGGCCUCGGGCAGCUAGGGCUAUAGUCCCAGGCCUAGAAACAACUUCCUUUGUAAUUUCUUCAUGCAAAGCAUAGAAAAUCAUAGAAGUUUAUCACUCAACAUAGCACAGCCCCAGGCGUAAUCUGCAUCUAGCUCCGCCACUGAUCAUAUGAACAAUUCAUUCAUGACGUGAUCUUUCUAGAACAGACAACAAGCAUCACAGCAGAUAGCAGGUGAGGAGUCCACGGAAUGGGCCACGCCCACAGCCGUGGCGGAGUCGUUUGAGAGCCAUCCGCAUGGACGGCCUUUGCUGCGGAUUCCCAACGGUGCAAUCCACGCCCAGCAUGAACACAGUUGCCAUCUCCUCCAUGUACGGCGCUUGAUCUGGGAUGUCCCUGUCCACGGCACUCUGGAACAUUUCCUGUUGGUUUGCCAUCAGUUUAGUGAAGUUGUUUCGCGCCCAAGUCGCCAAAUGACCAUCCGCUCCAGCUUCAUUGGCCAUCCGCCCCGUGACGAGCUCCAGCAUGAACACCCCAAAGCUGUAUGUGUCAACCUUCUCCGUCAGCUCCCUUGCUGCGACCCCAUAUUCUGCAGUUAAUCAUUUAUUAGUACUACUAGUUAAAAGACCAAGAUAGUGACGACAGAAUUCCCUGUAAUUAAGAAAAGUUAAGACGAAAUUCUAUUGGGUGCAUCAUUCGCCCAACAUACCUGGAGCUGAGUAACCAAAGUUCCCUAGAGGCAGGCCCGCAAUUGGCAACGGUUGGUCGAGCCCGGCCAUGUUCAUCUGUGCAGCGUCAAAACUGGCUAUCACGGGCUUGAAAUUCUGAUCAAGCAAGAUGUUGUUCGAGUUGAUGUUGUGGUGGAUAAUCGGCUUUUUGCAUCUGUAAUGCAUGUGGUAGAUCCCUUUGGCCAUGCCGAUGGCAAUGACCCUCCUCUGUGGCCAGCUCAGCGUCCGAACAACAUCCAUGGGUUGGUGCAGCCAGGAUUGAAGGCUGCCAUUCACCGGAUACUCAUAGACAAGCAUGAUGGCGUCUUCCCACUGGAUGAGGUCUACGACUUUGAUGAUGUUGUCGUGAGAAUUGCUGGCUAAGAGGAUCAUCUCCGACUUGUAGCGGUACGUGACAUUGCCGUCCACCUGCAGUGCUGGGUUCUCAUUCUGGAACUUCUUGACGACCAGCGUAGUCGGGAGACUGACGCCAGCAAUGCCCUGAACGUGUACUAUGUACAGUUCGUCAUCCCUUACCAUUCUACUAGCCCACACCCUUCUCUUAUUAAUUUCAGUAAGGCUGUCUACUAUGGCUUGUCCAUUGAGCUCAAUAGGCAGUGUCUUGGCAGGACGGCUCCAGAGCUGCAUUCUCUCAGGGGCGGGGUAGCGCGCGAAGAGGUUCCUGUCAAGGAUGUAUCAACCUGCAAACAUAUUAUUUACUAGCAAAAGAGCCCGUGCGUUGCAACGGAAGAGAAAACAUAACACAUGCUCUUAACCCAACAACCAUCACUCAAGAUCACAAUAGGUCCAUCUCCUUUAUUUUCGCGAGAUAUCAUAUUUGUGUUGCCGCUUAUCCUCUAUUAGGUAGAGAUAUAGCAAAUAUGCCCAUGCGUUGCAAUGGGGAAAAACAAUUAGACUAUGUCAGGAUGAGAUAAGGACUUUUAAAAUGUCAUGUCAUAAACUACGUCUCAUCUUGACCUAGCAUUGCGCCAUAGAAAGUUGUGUCAAUUUUUCUGGGAGCAAGCAUUGUAUAGAACACAAAAACCCAUUUUUAACCGAUGCGUCAUGGACUAAAUAAAAUCAUAAAACAACCUCUAUGUAUCCCCUAAAAAAUAUUUAAGUGAUGGUUCGUCUUUUCGUUAUUUACGUAUCUGUUUGAAUUUUUGCAAACAUUUUCUAAAAUUUUAUGGACAUAAUUUUCAAAUUGUUGAAUAUGUUUUGAAUUCACGAUCACCUUUUAAAAAUCAUGAAUAUUUGUUUUGAAAUAAUGUUUUUAUACUAUGCAAACAGUUUCUUAAUCUUAUUUAUUUUAUGAUUUCUCUACCAUUUUCUGAGUUCGCGAACAUUUUACGAUUUCUAUAAAAAAUUCAACUCACAACCUUUUAAAAUUUGGAUUUUUUUUCCGUUGAAUUUAAAAGAGAAAAACAUAAACAGAAAUAAGAAGAAAAAAUAAAAAAAGGAAAAGAAAACAGAAUGGAGACAUCACACCUCUAACAUGUGCGGGAGAAGGACGACCCCUUGACCAACCUGAUGAAUUACGCUGGAGGUUGACUAGGUCUGGAGUAUUUACAGUUAAGUCAAUGUAUAUUGAUGUUAUUAAUUCGAACUCCAUUCCAACUUUCAAGAAUGUCUGGGAUGUCAAAGUUCCUUUGAAAAUAAAAGUGUUUAUGUGGUUUGUUCAUAAACAAGUUAUUUUAACAAAGGACAACUUAAUAAAGCAUAAUUGGACAGGACCUACUAGGUGUAGUUUCUGUGAUCGGUAUGAGACGAUUAAGCACCUCUUUUUUGAUUGCCCGUUGGCCAAGGUCCUUUGGCGGACGGUCCAUAUUGCUUUUAAUAUUACUCCACCGACUACUGUUAACGCUUUAUUUGGGACUUGGCUUAAUGGGAUUGAGUCUGCCUUAGCAAGACAUAUUCGGGUUGGAGUUUGCGCUUUGCUGUGGACCAUCUGGAUUUGCAGAAAUGAUUUGGCUUUUAACAGAACAUCACGGAUUCAUUUUUUGCAGGUUAUUUUCCGAGCUACGGCAGUGAUCCGUUCGUGGUCGCUACUCACUCCGAUGGAGGCCAGGGAGCAUUUGGUUACUGGGUCUUUCCGUUGGGAGAUGGUAGCUCGGGAUAUCUUCAACCGGUUUGGAUGGCGGUCAUGUAAUAGGAUAGGCAAUUAGUUUACCUAUCUCUUUUAGCCAGCCGGUUGUGGCGUCUUUUCCUGGCUAGUUUGUGUAUCUAGCCUUUUGCGCUCUGUGUGAGCUGCUUUUUCUUUCUUUCAGUUUGAGACUUUGGAACCUUGUUGGCACAAUUUGUUUUUCGGUUAAUAAGAUGGCCGUAUGCAUCACUCUUGAUGCAGAGGCCGGGGAACCCCCCUUUUUGAAAAAAAAGAAAAAAAAAUUCUCUGGUUGUUAAUUGAAGUUAAAGAAAGACCAGAAGUCACUGUUUCUAAUGUCAGCUUGCAAAGCCGCUGAUGGCUAUUUUACAAUGCUGGUGAGUCUGUCUAUACCCACCAAAUGGAGAAAAAAAAGGUAUAUCCUGGUCAUGUUAGUGUUGUUUGUGUGUUUUUACCUGCCGCAGUUUGUACGUUCAUCAUCGGAGCUUGUAACUUGGCCACUAACUAAUGAAUCUUAUUCUUGCAGCUAGGGGCCUGGACCCACAACCACAGGAGGAGGGUGAGAAGAGAGAUGGAUGGUGUAAAUCUAAGCUUGUUGUCCAUUUUUGGUUGUUGCUAAAUGUGGAUGAAUUACGGCGGCAAGGGCCCGAUUGAUGGUUCUUGUUUGGCUGCCUUGGAUCGUUUUGUAUUCAAGCGCACCGCUGCCUCUUAGCUUGUGUAACCGAAGAAGGACGAGACAGAAGCCGUGGUGAAGCUCGAGGCUAUCAUGAUGAAUGGAGCUGUUGGUUCUUGUCAAGACUAGUUAGUUUGUCUUGGUUCUUUUUUGAACUGUGAAUACCAGACAAAUGAUUGUGACUAGUUUGUUGCUUUGGUAGGAUGCAUUCUUUUGGAGUAGUAGCUCUUGUUAGAAACCAUCAUCCUUGAAUUGAUGGUACUAGGUAUAUAUGCUCUUGUAUAUGUAUAUGUGAUACCUCAGUAGCUAUACAAAUGUUAUGCUUGUCCACCUGGAACAAGAAGUUCUCAAAUUCGAGGGGGGUUUACAUAUUUGGUGCUGGAAUAGGCUUCAGGGUUUAAAAUUUGCUCAUAUGGUAUAUCACCCAUGGCAAACUCUGCCUGUGAAAGUAACGACAGAGCUUAAGUGAAUGUGGAGCUGACAGAUGAAACUUUCUAGCCUACACCUCUAAAACAGAGUAGCUACUUCCUGGAAUCUUCAAGCCCUUUAAAUCCAAUAUGAACCUUUGCAAUUGAUAUGCCAGGAAUGGAAAUACAAUUAAGUUCCAUAUUAUUUGAAUGGCAGAAAGUCUCGUUAUAUCAUUUUCACUAAAAUAAUCACUGUGACUAAGUUCUACUCCCGUGUUUAUGGAGAGUAUGGGGAAAAAGAUUGAAAGCUCGAGCAUUUUUUAAGACAGACAGUCUGGAAAAGAUCUCCGUACCUUCAAGGUUCAAAGUUAUGCAGAUGUGAUUAAAGUUCUAGGGAUGCGCAUCAGCCACCCAAAGAGGGAUUAAAGUUCUAGGAAUGGUCUGGAUUGCGCCAUGUCAUCGAUCCAUGUCAAGUUCUAGGGAUGUGCAUAAGCCACCCAAGGAGGGAUGGUCUGGAUUGCGCCAUGUCAUCGAUCUAUGGCAUGGCCUUGCCUGUUGAUGUGGACCAUGCAUUUGCAAGCUUGUUGUCUUCACCCUGCCUCCAUCUCCAUAUAUACAAGAGAUGGUCACUCCUCCGCGUGCGGGGUGCGCGUGCGACUUACGACUUGGGACGUCGGGCGACGGCGAGAGGCGAUGCUACCUGUGAGCAUGAGGUUCUUAUUCACCACUGAUGCUCGCCGGUAUAUAUACCAUGGUUUUAAAUAACCCGCUAUAGCAAGUUAUAGCAUUCUGCGCUAGGAGUCUUUUGUCCGAACACAUGAGAAAAGAUUUUAAAUAGCGCGCUAUAGCACGCUAUAGCAUCGCUAUAGCACGCUAUAACAUUUAAAAGAGGUCUGCCGCUAAGAGGCUUAGCGCGCUAUUUAAAACUUUGAUAUAUACGUGGCAAUGCCCAAGGGGCAAAUCACGGCAAAACCAUCCUUCUGACUGUGUGCGUGUCUGUGUUCUGUUCUUAAGAGCAACGCGCCUGAUGCUUUUUUGUUUAUUUUUCUUCAGACUCAAUCACUCAAACCAGCUAGGUUCAGUCUUUCAAUUUUCUUCUAUCAACGGCCUUUUUAUUUGCUGACUGAGAAAGGCUGUGACGUGCGUGUUUCAUCGUUUUAUAUGGAUCUUCGAUUGUAACUGAAUGUAACUGUGUAAUGUUGUUGCAGUUGGUAUCUGGCUUGUUUGCAAGUCAGUAAGGUGCAGCCUUUUUCUUCAUGUUUUUUUCACUUGUCAAGGAUGUCCGCGGCAUGCUGCAAGUCAGUAAGGUUAUACAGUAGAUGCGAGAAGUGGACUGAAUGGGUGUCUCUGUCUGUCUGUCUGUCCGGUGUAGAGCUUUCAGGCGAUGAAACUGAAUCAUCAUCAGAAAUAAAGAAACAAAGCAGCUGGAAUGCUCGGCGAUCAGCACGCCCGUCGAACCCCUUUCAUUUCCGGCGUAUCUCCCAGCGCCGAGCAGCUAACCGGGACUCUAUACGGCGGUCCAGCCACUCCCGGACCGGCUUUAAGUACAUGCUGUUUCCUUCUCCGGGAGAGGGAAAUUGCAGAACUGGUUUUUCUGUAAAAGAAGCGGUAAUAGUCCGUCCGAUUUGAAGAAGUUACAGCCCAACGCGCUUCAGCGAUUAUCGCCACAGUGACGUUUUGGGAUAGGAUUCACAUAGAAGCAAUUGUGAAAAAUUCUGUGAAAAAUAACAAAUGGCGAAAAUUAACAAGUUCAUCACUGAAUCUGCUCUACUCUGAUUAGGCCGUUUAGUUUCAAGGACUCGUUCUUGGGCCUUGAGACAUUAUUCCGGCCCAAACUACACGCCACCACCGGGCCCGCUAAAAUUCCGGCCCAAACUACACGCCACAACAUGCAACCAUUACCAAGGAAAUUCAGGCAACUGUGAUAGAGUUUGAAUCAUGCAAGAUCUUUGAAGGACGUUGUAGUAAUAUAGAAGCUGCGGUGCUAAUGACUCGCUGGCGACAGCGCCCUGGGCAGAACGAGACCUUCUAGUCACCCGGAAAAAAACAAGACCUUCUAGUUAGCACAGACAUUACAAAAUGUUCAAUCUCCAUGCACGGACAUCCGAUAAAUUGGAACGAUACAUAAAAAAAUGUUCAGGAUAUUAAAAAAAUUGAAUUUCAAAAAUUCUUCAUGAAUAUGAAAAAUGUUCUCGAAUUCAUAAAAUGUCCGUCAAUUCAAAAGUAUCUCCAAUUUGAAAAAAAUUCAUGAAUACAAAAACCGUUCGUGAAUUCAAAAAUUGUUCAUGAAUUCAAAAACUGUUCGCGCUUUUCUAACAUGUUCGUGGAUUCAAAAAUGUUUGCAAAUUCAAAAAAAUAUUCCAAAAUUCAAAACAUGUUUGUAAAUUCAAGUGAAAUAUAACCAAAGGCUUCACUUAUACACCGUUCAGUGAACUGAGAAAUGGAAGCAAAAGACUUCACCUGCCUAACGUGCACGUUUAUCAAAUUCGCUCACUGGGGACGUCACAAGUAGUAGACGAAUUCAGGCUUUGGAGUGUGUAUGUGAAAAUUCUCCAUUCCAGACGUGAACUUGGCCAAAAACAUGUGACUAUGCUUGCUCACAGGGUUGCCGUCAGAUUGCCAAUCAGUCAGGGAACAUGGACUCAGUUAGAAACCUUUUGGUUCUUGCCUUGCGGAUGACAGAGCCAGAUUGGCCUGGAGUCACAUGUGAACUCCUUCCGGCACGACGUGAUGGAGGUAGGUCAAAGUUCCACCAGAUAAUGGAGAUGACGCGGGUGUCCCAAGGCAGCCUGAUCAGGGCCAUCCGGUGGCUCGAGGUUAGUUGUGCAGCAGCCGGUCCUGGACAUGGACCCAGCUCGAAGCGAAGCUCGAGGAAGCCGUCAGUAAGAUCAGGUGGCGCAUUGUGUUUGCAGCGUCCCUGCACUUGUACACACACCAUGGUUUUGGUUAUAUGACAAGUCACAAGAGCUAUAAUUUCGCAUAGACUCAAGGUUAUCACUGUCUAAUAUCGGCAUGAUCGAGCUGCCUUCACUGUAUAGAACUAGCAAGUUAUAAAUAUAAUCAAAACUAUAUGUGUGUCCAAGCACUUCAAAUUAUCUUCAGUUAUCUGUCGUUCAAUGAACCGAGAAAUGAAAGGAAAAGGCUGCACCUCUACUAAACCAAGUGGUGCUCUUCACUUGCCUAACGUGCACGUUGGUCAAAUUCACUGGAUUAAUUCAGGCCUUGGAUUGUGGAAAUUCUCCAUUACUGAUGUGAACUUGGCAAAAAAACCUGUGUGCAAGCUUGCUCACAGGGUUGCCGUCAGAUUGCCAGUCAGUCAGGGAACAUGGACUCGAUCAGAAACGUUGAACUACAAUUGCUUACAAUUGCCCGUUCGUAGCGGCACAGAUCCAUCGUCUUCCUCACCAUGGGUGUACCACCACUGCCAAGCUCCUGCUCAUAUGCAUCCUAGCUGCCAUCAACUUGCUGGCCUCCGAUGCACUUCAGCUCGGGCCAACCGGCGGUUCGGCCAGCGCGAGCUGCAUAGCGCGGGAGCGGGACGCCCUGCUGUCCUUCAAGCGCGGCAUCACCAGCGACCCCAUGGGCGUCCUUGACUCUUGGCACAAGGAAGAAUGCUGCCAAUGGAGUGGCGUCAAGUGCAGCAACCGAACCGGCCAUGUCCUUAGGCUUCAUCUUCGUAAUCUGCAUGUGGACACGGUCCCGCUCAAUGGAUUGAGCAUCGCUGGAUACUACAGAGACACAGCUUUGGUUGGCCAGAUAAGUAAUUCUUUGCUCUCCAUGGAUCGUCUUGUGCACCUUGAUCUUAUUAUGAAUUAUCUCGAGGGCCCAAGUGGCCGUAUGCCGCAGUUCUUGGCCUCUGUGACGAGAUUGAGAUAUCUCAACCUCUCCGGCGUACCAUUUUCUGGCAGAGUGCCCCCUCAGCUCGGCAACCUCUCAAAUUUGCAGCAUCUUGACCUCUCAAGGAAUGAUCGUAUGUACUCAAAAGAUAUUUCAUGGGUAGCACGCAUCCCUAAUUUGCAGUCUCUUGGAAUGAAUGGGGUAAACCUCAGCACAAUAGUUGAUUGGCCUUAUGUCGUCAACAUGGUCCCUUCUUUGAAGGCCCUCGAUCUUGGGGGUUGCUCUCUUCAAAUCGCAAAUCAUUCACUCCCACAUAUUAACCUCACCAAACUGGAGAAGCUUGAUCUCUCCGGCAACAGUUUUGCCCACCCAAUGGCAAGGAGUUGGUUUUGGAGUUUGACAGGCCUCCGACAUCUUUACCUUGCCGACACUCAACUAUACGGUCAAGCUCCUGAUGCACUGGCACAUAUGACAUCCCUCCAAGUCCUUGAUUUGUCAGUUAAUAAUAACAUGGUGAUGAUGAAUACAAGCUUCAGAAACCUAUGCAAUCUGAGAAUCCUGGACCUUUCUUCUUGUAGAAUUAAUGGAAAUAUAAAGGAUAUUAUAGGGAGGAUGCCCCAAUGUCCCUUGAACAAACUACAGGAGUUACGUUUGCGCUACACCAAUAUUACCGGAAUCAUGCCGGAUCAGACAGCACAUUUGACCAGCUUAUCCAUUCUUGACAUCUCUUAUAACAACCUAAGUGGACACAUACCACGAGGGGUUGGGCUGCUCUCUAGUUUAAGCAUCCUUGAUCUCUCUAACAACAAUCUCAAUGGACCUGUGCCAUCUGAGAUCGGCAUGCUCGGCAAUUUGACCUUUAUGGAUCUCAGCAGGAACAACUUGAUUGGUGACUUCACUGAAGAACAUUUCACAAGUCUAACGAGGCUAAAGGUGUUGCGUUUAGGUCGGAAUUCUUUGAGACUUACAUUUGGCCUCGAUUGGAUACCACCCUUUAGUUUAGAAGUCGCAGAUCUUGGCUCUUCCCAACUGGGCCCUUCGUUUCCUGCAUGGCUUCAGUCUCAAGUGGACAUUUGGCUGAUGGAUAUAUCUAGCACAGUUAUAGUUGAUAGGCUUCCUGACUGGUUCAACACGACAUUUGCAAAGGUCAGAUAUCUAGACAUCUCCAACAAUGAAAUAAGUGGCAGGUUGCCAAGAAACAUGGAAUUCAUGUCAAUGGAAAAUUUCUUUAUCAAUUCAAAUAAACUAACCGGUGAAAUCCCCAACUUACCAAGAAAUAUUACCACCUUGGACUUGUCUGGAAACUCUUUAUCCGGAAAUUUGCCAUCAAACAUUGGGAUUACAUAUUUGAGUUCAUUAUGGCUACGCUCCAAUCAAAUAACUGGCCGUAUUCCUAAAUCUCUCUGCAAAGUGGAAGCCUUGAACUCCUUGGACUUAAGCAACAAUCUUUUGGAGGGACAACUUCCUCAGUGUUUUGGGGUGAUGGACAUUGGCUUUCUCAUGUUGAGUAACAAUAGAUUCUCUGGCAACUUCCCAUCGUUUCUAAAAAGAUUGAGACAAUUGAAGUCUCUAGAUCUAUCACAUAAUAGUUUUUCCGGAAGGUUGCCAUUGUGGAUUGGAGAGUUGGCUGAAUUAAGAUUUCUGGGGCUAAACCAUAAUACAUUUUCUGGAGAAAUCCCACCUACCAUCUCAAAUCUUAGUCACCUUCGCCAUCUGAACCUAGCAGGCAAUGGCUUAUCAGGUGCCAUACCGUGGCAUAUGUCAAAUAUCACGGCCAUGAUAGGAAUGGACAAAAGCAAUUAUGAGAAUGAGCUAUUUUUUGACGGUUACUUGGGUACGUUCCAUACACUUGAUUUUUCCUCUGCGGUCAUCAAGGGACGAGAACUUAAUUAUAGUUCUGGCAUUUGGGAUUUGGUGAGCAUUGACCUAUCUUUCAACCAAUUAACUGGGGUAAUACCAGAAGAAAUAGCUGCUCUUGAUGCAUUGAUAAACUUGAAUCUAUCAUGGAACCAAUUGAGUGGGAAAAUCCCAAAUAAGAUUGGGGCCUUGCAGGCAUUGGAAUCACUUGACCUCUCAAGGAGCAUGCUUUCUGGCGGAAUCCCUUCGAGCCUAUCAGAUAUAACCUAUUUGAGCUACUUGGACCUGUCUGAUAACAAUCUAACAGGGAGAAUACCAUCAGGACGUCAGCUUGACACCCUCUACACACAGCAACCUUCCAUGUACAGCGGCAACAGUGGUCUUUGUGGGUUUCCUCUUCCAAUCAGUUGCCCGGGAAAGAAUGCAACAAGGAAAGAUGAUCAAAAAAGGAAUGAACAUUCCUUUGAGCCAAUGACCUUUUAUUUUGGACUUGCUCUGGGAUUUAUUCUGUGUCUCUGGGUGGUGUUUUGCAUCUUGUUGUUUAAGAAAGCAUGGAGAACUGCUUAUUUCUGCAUGGUUGACAAGACAUAUGAUCAGAUGUAUGUGUUUUCCGUUCUUACAUGGAAAAGCUGGGCUAGAAAGUGAACUACAAAUUGAGUAAGAGCUCUGAAGAAGCAUGAAGCAGCAUAUUAGGCUGGGAUUUGUAUUUCCUUGAAGUUAAUGUAAAGGAUAUUGAUGAUUUGUAAUUGUCUAUGCGUGUAUGAUAAUACUUUUGAGCUUCUGUAUUUGCUACUGUUCAGAUGUUUUGCUAAUUGUUUGUGUAUGAUAAUACUUUUGAACUCCUGUAUUUGCUACUGUUCAGUUGAUUGUUUGUUCCGUAGCUUCAUCAUUUACAGUUUCACAGUUGGUAUAGCCUUGGGACUCUGUUUUUUCUGUUAUCCAGUAGAGUACUGGACGUGAGUAAGAGGAAACUCAUACACUGACUUUGGACUUUGCACAUUAGUUUUUUUUCGAUAAAGGACAUUUCAUUGAAUAGAUAUAUCGAGGUGAUACAAUCGCAUCGAAAGAAAGCCCGGCCUCUGCAUAGCUAGAUGCACACAGCUAAAAAAGUCCAGAGUACCCUAAAAGCAAAAAAUAAUUCGAUACAAUGCCAAUAAAAAAACAUGUCCAGCCUAAGGAGUGGCAGAUCCUAUCCGUAGGUCACACCGUCAUCCAUGGGGGUAGAAAACCUCCCUGGCCGUAUGCUCCAGCCGUGUAGACGCCAUCAUAAAAAGGUCCAUAUCCUCCGGCCUCUGCAGGAUAGACCAAGUACGGAGCCAUCGUGUACACACAUGAAAAACCUGCAUAGGAGAUGAGACACAUUUGUUAUUAAAAAUCACAUCAUUCCUGGUAAGCCACAGUGCCCAGCAUAAGGCCGUCACUCCCACAAGAAUAUGUGCAAAAAAUUGUUUAUCAAUACCCCGCAACCAGUUGCCGAACAUGUUCCGUGCACUACGUGGUGGAUAUAGAUUCGAAGCUAAUUGAACUAUGGCCCAAACUACCCGAGCGAACUUGCACUCAAGAAAUAAGUGUUUAAUAGACUCGUCAUGUUGGCAAAAGACACAUGUCUUGGAACCAUGCCAGUUUCAUCGUGCCAGAUUAUCUCUAGUUAGGAUGACUCCUCUGUUAAGAAACCAGAGGAAAAUCUUCACUCUUAGAGGGAUUUUGAGCUUCCACAAUUUCCUGUUAUCAACUGGAACAUCACAAUGAACCAUUGCAUCAUACAUGGAUUUGACUGAAAAUUUGUCAUUCUGAUGCAAGUUCCUUCGAAGAAUGUCCGGCUCACCUGACAGUUGAAUGUCCUCCAGGCGAGUAAGUAAUUCAUUCCAUGCUGCCAGGUGAGGGCCAAAAAGGUCCCUAUGGAAAGAAAUAUCAUGGUUUUCUUGUCCUAAAACUUGUUUGAUUGUGACGAAUUUAUGUCUAACAAUUCUGUACAAGCUCAGAUAUUGCACCAUUAGUGGGUUAUUCCCUAGCCAGAUAUCUUUCCAGAAUCGAACCUGAGAACCGUCCCUAACUGAGAAGGUCCCAAAUUGAAAAAAGAAUUCCUUGGCCUUCAUCACACCACUCCAGAAAUGCGAAUCCCUAGGUUUCCAAUGAACUUGAGAAAUGGCAUUGGAUCCCACAUAUUUGUUGCGAAUGAUUUCCUACCAUACUCCAUUCUCAUUGAGUAGUUUGUAAACCCACUUGCUGAGAAGAGCAAUGUUUUUAAUCUCAAGGUCUUGGAUUCCCAGCCCCCCUUGACUUUUAGGUCUGCAUAAUACGCUCCACCUAGCCAGUCGAUAUUUCUUGGAUUCGUUGUUGCAUUGCCAAAAAAAACUGGAUCUAAAGUAGUCUAGUCGCUGGAGAACCCCUUUCGGUAGGUGAAAGAGUGACAACAUAUAUAAAACCAUGUUGCUUAGAACUGAAUUGAUCAAGAUUAAUCGUCCUCCGUAAGACAAGAGCUUGGCCUUCCAACUGGCUAAGCGUUUCUCAAGUCUCUCUUCCGAAUCCACAUGCUUCCACUCAGCGAUAGUUAAGCGCCGAUAGUGUAUGGGAAUACCCAGAUAUCAAAUCGCAAACUGCCCGAGCCGGCAUCCAAAAAUCUCAGCAUACUCAGGUGUUGAUUCUACAGCAUCGCCAAAGCAAAAAAGUUUGCUCUUAUGAAAAUUAAUUUUGAGACCAGAAAGUUCCUCAAAAGCACAUAAGAGCAACUAGAGAUUUCUUGCCUGAUCUAGAUCAUGAUCCAUGAAUAGAAUAGUGUCAUCCGCAUAUUGUAAAAUAGAUAGACCAUCUUCUACCAAGUGUGGAAUGACACCACUAAUUUGACCGUCCAGCUUAGCCCGCUCAACAAGGGUAGCUAGCAUGUCGGCCACAAUGUUAAACAAAAUAGGAGAAGCGGGGUCCCCUUGGCGAAUCCCCUUGUCUGAAAAUAGUUGCCAAUGUCAUCAUUAACUUUUAUGACCACACUGCCUCCAGAGACAAAGCUCUCUACCCAAAGACACCAUUUCUGUGAAAAUCCAUUCAUGCGCAAAGUUUGCAACAGAAAGGGCCACUUAACCUUAUCGUAGGCUUUUUCAAAAUCUGUUUUAAGAAUGACACCAUUCAAAUUUUUUCGAUGAAGCUCAUGUACAGUUUCGUGCAAGACGACCACUCCAUCAAAUAUGUUGCGGCCUUGCAUAAAUGAUGUUUGAGUGAGUUUUACGACAUGGUCAGCCACCCCGUUCAACCGAUUAGUUGUGACCUUCGUAAAGAUUUUAAAACUUACAUUUAGAAGGCAAAUCGGUCGAUAUUGUUGAAUACGACUAGCCUCCGUAAUCUUAGGCAAUAGGAUAAUUUCCCCAAAGUUUCAACGAGAAAUGUCAAGGUCUUCAGCAUGCAGUUGGUUAAACAACUGAACCAAGUCUGCCUUAAUGACGUCCCAAAAACAUUGAUAGAACUCUGCGGGAAAGCCAUCCGGACCCGGAGCCUUGUUGUGCUCCAUUUUAAACACCGCGGUUCGAAUUUCCUCCUCAGAGAACGGGGAGGUUAGGAAUUCAUUUUCCGCUUCCGUAACUUGAGGAAUGUCAUGAGUGAUGGAUUCAUCCAGCUGAAAAAUUGAUUCAGCUGAAGGUCCAAAAAGCUCUUUGUAAUACUUAGUAAUAAAAGUUCUAAGUGGUACGUCCCCCUCAGUUCGGCCUUCCUCCUGGUUAAGGGCGAAUAUGCGUUUCUUUCUUUGUCUGCCAUUGGCAAGCAUUUGAAAGUAUUUCGUAUUAUCAUCACCUUGCAUAAGCGAAUCUGCCUUGCAACGUUGGUACCAUUUAAUCUCUUCCUCGCAUAGUAGGCGGGCUAUCUGCUCAUUUAGAUUGAUUUUUUGCUCAAUCUCAACUACAGAGGCCUCACCUCCGCUAUUUUAUCAAGGGAAUCAAUUAAGGUAGAUAGUCGCAGAUUUUCUUUUUUGUAGAUGCCAGCAGUAUGCUUGGCCCAUCCACGAAGGAAUCGACGCAAUGCGCGAAUUCGAUUAUUCCAUCGUUGAAUGGGUGUGUUACGGCGAGGCAGACACGCCCACACUUUCUUAACCAGGUCGUGAAAUCCCUCUCUAGUGAGCCCUCCCAAUCCAAAUUUAAAUCGAGGACAGUUAGAAUUUGGGAUUGGUUGUCCAAAAUCAGUGAGCAAUGGAGCGUGAUCCGAUAAGGCCUCAAUUCUUUCUAAUGCCCGAACCGAGGCAAGGGGAUAUUUAUAUUCCCAGUCGGUGGUAACUAGCACCCGGUCAAGUUUUUCAAAGGUUGGCACCGAUCGGUUAUUGGCCCAGGUAUACUGACGACCAUACAUCGUGAUCUCCCUCAGAUCCAGACUGUCAAUAACAACAUUAAAGAGGAAAGGCCACCUUGUAUCAAACCGUUCAUUGUUUUUUUCCUGCUGAUAUCGAAGGAUAUUAAAAUCCCCCCCCCCAUUAACAUGGGGUGGGGAUUGUCUCGACAGGCAUUAACAAGUUCUUUUAGGAAUGCAGACUUAAACUCCUCUUGAGCGGCGCCAUAUACAACUACCAGGCUCCAAAGGAAAUUGUCGGACUUGUUCCGAAGGUGGAAUUUGAUAUGAUACUCCCCCUUUGACGUGGACAAUAGUUGCAAGUACGUAGAGUUAAUACCUAGCAAUAUUCCACCAGACCUCCCGGUCGGCGGUAAGACGUGCCAUUCGUAAUCCAAACCACAUGAGAAGUGGUCCAGAUCACGUGUUGGAAAGUCACGUUUGCCCGCCUCAGUGAUAGCCACGAAGUCCAACACAUGAUCCUUUACACAAUCGGCAAUGUGUUUGUGUUUAGCCAAGUCACCUAGACCUCUGCUAUUCCAAAACAUGCCUCUCAUGCUGAACCAAUUUUUUGUUUAGAGACCUUUGCCUUCCUAGAAGAGCGCCCUCUUUUCUUUCCUGAGUUAGACUUAUUCUUACGCACCGACGCGACAAGCUCACAAAGCAUAGUGUCGCGUACAGUAUCGUCAAGAUCUACUUCAGUCGUGUCUUUAACCAAAUGAGAGAGAAGCUUGCCUUCAUGAUUGUCAUCAGCAUCCUCAUCCUCCUCAGCUGGCACGAGAGGGUCAACAAAGCUCGACAACUUAGGAGCAACCGUAAGCCGGUCGAACUCCACUUGUUUAAGGGCCCUAACCGACAAGUCUAUCUCUUUCUCAUUACGUCCUAGUGACACUCCAAGUCAAGUGAUAUUUGAAGAUACUUUGGAUUUAUCAAAAGACAUAAAAGAUUUGCGAGAGGGUGUACCUUCGAAGUCGAGGUUGCGGGCAGCCGUCCUACGCAUGGCCUUCACCAUAGAGUCCUUGUCGGUGGCUGCUGAACCGUUAGUCCCGACUUAAUGACGCCCGCUGCGCCUCAGCGGCGAAGGAGUAAUAUCGGCCGCCGAGCCCGUCCCGGCGACUCUGAGAGGCGGAGUAGACUGUUGUGGUGAUGAAGAAGAAGAUCGCAGGGGCUGCUCCUCAGCCUCCUCGGGUCUGGAAGCCGACGCCCCCCUCCCCAUCGGUGACGGAGGUGUAGAUGAUAACAUGCGGAGUUCCGCCCUGGCAGACUCCUAGCCAGCACGAACGGACGGGGAGAAGAUCACUCCCCGUCGAGUCGGAGAGACAGGUGCAGGCGAUGGUGGUGGCGAUGGAGCGCUCGCAUUCACCACCACGGUUGCCAUCCCCUCCGGUAUGGGACGCACGUGACCCCCCUCGUCGAGGUGCGGCGGCGCCGACCAGUGAGUCGGUGAUGGCGGCGUCGAGGACCGGGGCGCCAACAUCAUCGGAGAAGCAGCGAUAGACGAAGUAGCCGGCACCGACGAAGAAGACCCCAUAAAUGACGAAGAAGCAGCUGUGGCAGGUAAGCCUCGAUGAGGGUUUGGUGGUGUGACGGCAAUGGCCAUCUACAUGGGUACUACUCCUCCCAAGGUAGGAGGGGCCGAGGUGUUGUUGGAUGAUGAAGAAGUGGGUUUGGGCCUUUUACUUGUAUCAUUGCCCCCCACUGUGUGUCAUCCCUCUCAUGUCCCUUAUCGCCUCCUGAAUCAUCCCCGUGCUCCCAUACUCGAGGCACAAAAUCAGCAUCAACACAGAAGUCCUCUUUUUCCAGGCUGAUGCUCGUUGUAUUUGUUUCAAAGGAUCACGCCACACACGAAUGGUGCAUAUGAAUAUAGGAUGGCUCAAUUGUGUAAAUUUUGAGAUAGAGCUCUGGCUUUCUUUUUCAGAACGAUUUGUUGUCCUAUUGUUGGUCGCUAGUUCUGACAUAUUAUUAGUAGUAGUGUUCACCUCUACUAACAACCUCCGCCCUUCAGCCCCGCUCCCCUCCGCCGCCCCCCGCGCGGGCGACCGAGGGGACCCAACCCUCUGUCGCCGGCUCCCUCCUCCUUCCCGCUCUCCCCUCCGCCGCCGCCGGUGGUCGGCGCCGGACUAAGCCUGCGCGUGCGAUGGCGGCGGCGGAGGCAUCGCCCUCUCACUCCGGGCUAGGGAUGCGCGGAAUUCCCGAUCUCGUGGAUGAGGCCCCGAUCUAUGGCAGCGGUGCCGAUCUGGCCACGACAGUCUCCAUGAGUACGGCGGCAUGGUGGCCGGCCGGUUCCUUGGGGCGGCCGUGGCGGCAGCCUGACUAUGCUCUGCCUGAUCUGGAACGGAGGGUGCUGGAUCCGGGGCGGCGGCCCCUAGGCUGGCCUCCUCGUCCGGGCGCGGCGAGGCAGGUGGGCUGUCGGGGAUCGGAUCGGGGUGGCCGGUACAGUGAUCCUCCGAUGGUUUGGUGUCGCGGCGUCAGAUCUAGUGGUUUCCCUCCCUCCUGCUACCUCUCUCGUCGUUCCGGUGGUUUGCGGCUGCAGGAUCCGGUGAUGGCAAGCCCCGGUGGUGUACCUUGGUCCGGGGGAAACCUUAGCCGUUCUGGCCGGCCCAGCGGCGGCGUCGUCCAUGGACGUUGCUUUCCUUCAUGAAGGCGCAACAGAGGUCCCAAUGUACACACCCUGAUCUCAUGCCGGGUGAAAACCUAUAAUCCUCUUCGGAUUUGGCGGCAGCGGCGCUUUCACAUCGUGACCUUCCCGGAGGUGUUGUCAGGGGCCUUAGGACUCGGUUGGGAGUGCAUAGGAACUGCAGGUGGAGGGGAUGGGACCAGUGGCAGCAGGUGGUGUUUGCGAAGGAGGUGCGGCGUUGCAUCUGGCACGUCGACAGCGGCGGGUCCCAGCGGCAUGGAGCAGCGGGGUCUCGCUGCUGAGCAUGUGUUGAUGGAUGAGCGCAGGAUGGCGGCGUUGUCAGGCGUCGUGGUGGCGUCGACGACAGCUAGACCGGGCAAGGUUGAUGCGUCAGUACAGCUCUGAAGAUGGAUUGGUGGCAGUUGGCGGCAGUGGCCUCUGAGUGUGCGCCGGACCGGUGGGUGCCCCAUACCCGGCAGGUGGCUUGGUUGGGACCUCAGGUCUUAGAUGUUAGGUUUUGGCACCGAGAUUUGUUUGGUAUUAGGCCCAGACUACCAGCAUCCCUUCAUCAACUGGAUAGGAGUGACAGAUGUUGCCUAGACGGUGGCUUCAGUCUUACUGCUGUAUUACUUUGUAAGGUUUUUUGUAAAUAAUUAAUAAAGUGGUUGCAUGAAUCGCCCAGAUGCAGAGACCGGGGGUCUUCCUCCUUUUCCAAAGAAAAAGAACUUUUUUGUUUCUCUGUUUUCAGAGUUGUUGUUGAUAACUGCUCAAUUAGCACUUGGUAUAUGCGUGCCCCUUCUACAGCUGACUGGACCUGCGCUGAAUGACCAUGUAGCAUGUAUUGAACCAAGGCAUCUCCAUGUGCCAACCUAUGAUUCUCCCUGCCGCAUAAACCAUCCAUGAUUACGCAAGCCUACACAUCUGAAUUUGAUUGUCUACAACCAACAGCAGUUCCUGUGAUGACACCAUAUCGAACCCGUUUCAAGGGCCACUAUAAAAACAGUAUAUGCUUGCAGGUUAGAACAAUAGCAGCCAUAAGUGUUAUUAGCUAGGUUCAGUCGUCACUCGAUGGUCUUUUCAUUGUCGUGAAUGGUUGCAGAAUGACACCAUGGAACCUCGAUUUAAAUUUUGAAUAUGCAAUUAUAAGUAAGAUUGUGCAUGAGAGAUGUGUGUGUCUGCCCACUGCACAAUGUGGAAUGCUCGGUGAUCGGCACGCAUCCCUGAAUCACUGCCCUGUAGCUUUGCAGAGUAUCUUCAUGUACUCAUGCCGCGGCGCCGAGAAGCUAACGGCAAGGUCCUCCCUACAGAGACUCCACAGGCGUGAUGGGCACAGAAAGUGCAGAGAAGUUGAGAGCGGGUUUUUGGGUGAAGCUUGAGAGUGGUUUCUGAAUCGUCCGCGUAUCGGUAUCGUCAUGCUCGAGGCUAUGUGCGGCGAAGACUUUUUAAAAAUUACCAUCAUAUCCUUUGUCAUGAAGAAAGGGUAUGGGCAAAUCUGAUUAAUUCAUUGAUGUGUUUAAGGAGUCAUAUCGAAACUGAAGCUUAAAAAAAGAGAGCAGCAAAGAGGUCGGAAGAAGAUGAACGCACUGACUUGUGAUGUGGGUAGGAGAGUUGCUAUCUAGGUUCAUUCCUUGCUUGGCAUCCAAAACGCUCCAUUAGUUCAUUGAUUCAUUUAGAAGAAGUGUCGACAAAAACGAAAAGUGCGAUACAUUGAACUUUCUGCUGGAAACGUGUCUAGCUUUGGACAUCCAUUUGUUGUGCUGACUUCCAAAAUGACCACCUCGGUUUCACCAUCUAUCUAUUUAUCUAGCUGCACAUGCCCUGUCCAUGAAUCCCACCCCGCCGCACCAACCACGGCGGCAACACACGCACACCCCACCCCCCAAUGAAGACACAAGUGACCCCCCCCUCCCGCCCUCGCGUCGUCCCCUUGGGCGACUCGGGGGCGACUAGGGUUCCGCCGCCGCCGCCACCCCCCUCCACCCCCUUCCUCCCCCUCGCCGCUACCAGAGACGGCCGACGGGAAGCCCGCGCGGACGCCGGUGAAGGUGGCGGCGGGGAUCUCGGCGCUCCUUCCCCUCUUGGAGGCCCGUGGUUCCUGGGGCGGCGGCCCUUGCCGGAGAGGCGACGUCGUCGAGCGGUGGGUGGCGUUCGCAGGGGGUGCUGGCCAGCUUGCCCGGUCGCGCGGGCGGCGGGUGGCUGGUGGAAUCUGGCCGCGGCGUGAAGCUUCGUCAGAUCUGGAGGUGCGAGAUCCCUUUUCCCUGCUGCCCCUCUCUCGCCUCCGGUGUGGGCUAGCGUUUCUGGCUCCGGUGUUGGUGCGUGUUGGUGUUCAGCAAGGGAACCGGGGGAAACCUUGGCCGGUCCGGCCGCCGCCCGGCGGCAACGCCCAAGGGCGCUGCUUUCCUCCAUGGGGGCGCAGCCGAGGUCCCCUGCUUUCCACCCCGAUCCCCCUGCCCGGGUGAAAACCUUUAUCCUUGGCGGAUUUGGCGGCGGCGGCGCCUAGUGCUUCGCGACCUUGCUGGAGGCGUUGUCAAGGGUGCGGGGCUCGGUCGGGAGGUUAUGCAGGUGAGGGAUUGAGCUACCUCCUCUGCGACGUCCGAUUCCUUGAAGCUUGUCUACAACUAGUUGGGCUUGGACUGUGGCGGAGCAGCCGGCGAGGUAUAUCCCAAAUCGAUGUGGUCAUCCUAUGUCCACCUUGCGAUGCGAGGGCGACAUUCUUCCAGCUCUAGGGUGAGUUUCUCGAAAUCCCGACGGUUCGGCGCCUACGAGCCAUGGCGAGGGGGAAGGGUCCCUCUUCGGUGAUUUGAGAGGGAAGAUGUAGGUUCCCUUCUUCUCUAGGUGUUCCUGGAGCACGGUCCAUCCUCGAAGGUCGGCUAUGUCCUGCUGUGCUGCUCCGUUUCUGCUACAUAUGAUCCUAGUAUGGAGUGCUCGGCCUUUGCUAGCUGUAAUUCAUUUGCGGCUUGUGGAGGUUGUAGUGAGUAGGCUUUCCAGUGUUCCCCGUUGUAUCGUUCUGACCGUUGUAAGUUGGGUUGUCUGUUGUAACUCCUGGCCGGUUGAUGGCUUUGUUAAUUCAAAGCCGGGCUCUUUCGCGAGCCUUCGUUCUAAAAAAAAGACACAAGUGGCGACGGCCUCCCAAGGCAUAUAUCAAUAUUUAUUUCCGAGGUUUGAUUUCAGUACCUUUUCAUAUAUUAAUAUAUAGUGUCAAUGCCAAAUUGGCAAUGCCAAGGAUUUGGAUCCCAAGUGCACGUUUUUUCUUGCGGGGCACCGAAAUUCUCGGUUACCGUGGUAUCCGUGAAAUCUCAGAAAUUUUUUGGAUGAAAUUUGAAUUUGAAUUUUGAAUUCAAUUUUCUUAAAUAUACUAUAGAUAAGCCCUGGACUCCAUUUUAUCAGCAACCAUCCUGUGGCGCAGUGGUAUUGUUGUUGUGCGUGUUUCCCCUGCCUUGACGUUGCUAGUUUGAAUCACCCCUACAACAUUUCUUUUCGCAGUAUCUUCCUUUUUUUUCCUAAAAAUUGUUAGAAAAUAAAAUGAACAGCUGUGUGAUAUAAUUAGGAGGCCCACGCUAACCAGUACGCCACAGCUGCCUGCCUGUCCUUUAUGAGUUCCUAGCCUAUCUAACUUAACUAUCGGAGUUUAAAUUCAAAAAUUUCAAAAAAAAAAUCAAAAAGUUUCACUCGGUACAAAGGUUUCUCGUGGGGUGGCGAAAACGCGGUUACCGGGCGAUAUCCAAAUAUUCCGCCCGGUACCCAAAACCAUGGGCAAUGCACAAUUUAUAUUUUUGAAAAUGUUUGGCAAACUUUGCCAAAAUUCUAUUGAAUUUUUUAACCCUGCAACGCAUCCAUGAUUUUUUGAGUUUCUUCGCAUAAAACUAUACUGCUUUUUCUUCCGCAAAAAAAAACUAUACUGCUUUUUAAAAUCCUUUUGUACCUAAAUAGGUCACUACGCCCAGGUAGGGGCUACUAGCCAGCGACUCAAAGUACUGUGACUAAAAUACUCCCACCUCGAUUGUAUCUCUCCUCUUCUUCUUCUUCUUCUUCUUCUAUUCCACCACACGCCGUCAUUCCCAGUCCCCACCCAUGUUCUUCUUCUCCCUCCACCCUAAUACACACCCAUCCACUCCACGGUCUCUCUCUCGGCGUUGGCUUCGGCGGGAAGGCCGCCCACUGUGGAUCUAGAGGAGGCGAUGGAGACGUCGUCGCUCGCUCGCUGUGGUUGUUGCGCACGCGUGUUGGGACGGGGACACGACUACGGCCGUGCCGUCGUGUGAGGCGGUCAACCGCACGCCCGAGAAAGCGCGGGUCUGUCUGGCCUUCUGCGGCGCCGGCGCCUGCUACGCCCACGGAUAAAUGGUCGGACGGCACCAUGGCUGGCCGUUCGACGCCGUCCCGUGUCAACUCCGCGAGUAGCGCUUAUCGAAAAAGGGUUUCCCCCGCUUUGUAUUCCAAAGCAACCAACACCAAUACAGGAUUGUUGGACAAGCAGCACAACAAGCCAAAAAAAAAGAAGAAAAAGCAAAUGCCAACAACGGUAGCUCGACAAAUGCGGAUGACCCGCCACCACUACGCCCACCAGAGACAAACCACUACAACCCGAGGUUCCGAACCACCGCGAACAAAACAGCACCUCCAAGAAGGAAAGCGACGCCGACGACGCUGCUGCCCGGACAUGUCCUAGGGUUUCCCCGGCACGCGGAGGGAGGUGGGGGAUGGAUAUCACCGAUACCCUUUAGGAAGGAAUGGUGGCACCCGUAGGUGUCACCGCAUCGGAGCCGAAGACCGGCAAAGAUUUCUCCCGUACUCCAAUCCUCACCGCCCAACGGACCGGAGCCGAUCAGCCAAACCGCCGCCCACCACCAUGCGCCAUCGCGGUAGCGCCGCCACACACGCCGCCUCACUGCGAACACCCACACGAGACCAAGAGGACCGGAGAGAAGCGCCCCGCGGAGGGAGAAGCAGCACCGAAGCCGAACGAGAGGGAACCACCUCCACCGCCGUUGUGCGGGAGGCCAGAGCCUCCGGCACCGUCGCGGUAGCCGUCCGGACGCGGCAGCAGGGCAUGCCAGGCCACCCCUGGCUCGGCCAGGCCCAAAACGGGCCCGCUAAUCCCCGCCGCCACGCUGCAGCAAGCCGGUGGCGCCGCUAGCACCCUGCCGCUCAUCGCCGCUCCCCCGCCUCCCGAAAGCCACGAAGCAGACCCACCCCGCCGUCAGCCCGCCCAGGCCCAGAUGGGGCCCGAAGGGCCCAGAUCUGGGCCGAGCGGGCGCCGCCAGACCGCGCCGCCGCGUCGUCCCGCCGCCAACGGCGACGCCGCCGACCAGAAGUUCGCCCCCGCUCGCGCCAGGAGCCCCCGCCGCCGCGCUGGACCGUCGCCGCCUAGAAGCACCACCCGGGGUCGCCCCGUCCCGCGCCAGUGGACGCCCGAGAGGGGAAAGGCCAGGGGGCCGCCGCCACCAGCGUUGCCCGGGCCUGGCCCACAGCGGGUGCCGGCGACGGCGGCAGGGAGGAAGGGGGAGGGAGAGUUGCGCGGGGGAGGAGGCUGGACGCGACCGGCCGCCCACGGGGGCGACACGGUCGCGGGAGAGGAAGGGGAUCAAUUAUUGUAGAUGCCGCGAGUAGCGCUUCCGUCUUCUCCGGCUCCGACCACCUCCGCCUCAACCGCCGGUGACCUGCCUUCAAAUCUCUUUCGCGCACACCUUCAUCCCUCUGCUCUCCCCUCUUCUACUAACUGAAUUGAACAGAUCCAGCGGCUGGGUUCUGAAUGUUACUAGCACUCAUCUGAUUUGGGCCAGUUUUCCAAUCCUUGUAGAGAAUUCUUCACUUGAAAUGGAAGGAAAAGAAACAGUCAAACUGCCCUGAAAUUAUCUUCACUUAUAGUAUAUCAUUCAGUGAGCUGAGAAAUGGAAGGAAAAGCCUGCACCUCUACUAAACCAUGUGGUGCUCUUCACUUGCCUAACCUGCACGUCGGUGCUUGUGGACUGUCACAAGUAGACGAAUUCAGGCCUUGGAGAUUUUGUGGAAUUCUCCAUUCCUGAUGUGAACUUGCGCUCAGUCACAGGGUUGCCGUCAGAUUGCCAGUCUGCAAGGGACAUGGACUCGGUCAGAAACAUGGACUAACACAAUUGCCAUAAACUCCGUUCGUAGCGGCACAGAGCUGAACCCAUCGUCUUCCUCACCAUGCAUACCACCACUGCCGAGCUCCUGCUCAUAUGCGUCCUAGCUGCCGCCAGCUUGCUGGCCUUCGAUGCACGUCAGCUCGGGCCAGCCGGCGGUUCGGCAGGCGCAAGCUGCAUACCGCGGGAGAGGGAUGCCCUGCUGUCCUUCAAGCGCGGCAUCACCAGCGACCCCAUGGGUGUCCUUGACUCUUGGGACAAGGAAGACUGUUGUCAGUGGAGGGGCGUCAAGUGCAGCAACCGGACCGGCCAUGUCCUUAGGCUUCAUCUUCGUCGUCUGGAUGUGUACAAACUCGAGGGGUACUACCAAGACGUCACGGCUUUGGUUGGCCAAAUAAGUAAUUCUUUGCUCUCUGUUGACGUAUAAUGUGCUGCCUAGUUUCUUUCAUCAGAUCGGUCUUUUGGUUGCAUUGGCUAGAGCAUGCACUUCUAUAUGGUAUCAGAGCCAAGAGGUCUUAAGUUCAAGACCCGGCUGACGCAAUUAAAUUGCAGCCCACUUUCGGUCCAUGUUUAGGCCUAAGGAAGCCACACAUGAGGGGGAGUGUUGACGUAUAAUGUGCUGCCUAGUUUCUUCCAUUAGAUCGGUUUUUUGGUUGCAUUGGCUAAAGCAUGCACUUCUACACUCUCCAUGGACCGUUUAGUGCACCUUGAUCUCACCAUGAAUGACCUCGAGGGCCCAAGUGGCCGCAUGCCGGAGUUCUUGGGCUCUUCGACGAGAUUGAGAUACCUCAACCUCUCCGGCUGUUCGCACACGAACACGUCACCGUGUACCUCCAACGCCGAGGGUGAUGCACCGCAGCUCAUGUCGAAGGAGACCCGUCCGGAAGCGCGGUACGCAAGCAAUCCGGCGGGUGCUUUUCAGGACCCGAAACCCCACGCGCCCGGGAGGGACCCCGUCUGGACUUGCGGCGGCUAUGGGCUGCCCUAGGUCGGUUCGCCCGCCCCUAGAGCCUCGAGGAUCGCUGCCCUUCAACACGAAGAACGAGCGAAGAACGAGAGAGAAAGAACAAGGGAGGGAUGUAAAACUAGGGUAAAAAGUAGAUGUAUUUUGCGAUUGUGUGUUGUUUCAAUCGGCCGUCACCCCCAACAUAUAUAAGAGGCGGCUGGACUUCCCGUACAAGCAAAGGAUUUAUCUAAGCUUUCCUUACAAGAAAAUUACAUCAAUUCACGUCCAAAACCCUAGUCAAAUUCGGACUGGUUUUAUCCGAACUUCCCAAAACUGUUCGGUUUAAACUGGCUGCACCUUGCGGGUCCUUUUUGCGGUGGUAAACGAUCUCGGAUGAAAACAAGCCCAAAAGCAAUCUUGACUGUUUCGACGAGACGAACAAAUUUCAUGUUGAAGGGUUUUUGAUCAGAGAUCAUCUUGAGGGUCAAAUCUGUCUCGCAACACAGACUAUCUCCUCGCGCUACUCGUCAGACACGUGUCUGGUGGGGCGCGCCACAUCUCGCCUCGUGACAGGGCUGCACUUUGAUUGCUCUAACUUUUGCAUACGACCUCGGAUUGGGAUGAUCUUUAUAUCAAAAUCAAUCGCUUCGACGAGACACACAACUUUCAUGUUGAAACUUUCUCAAUUUGAGGCCAUCUUAAUGGGGUUUCUAUCCAUUCUUUAAUCUGGUGUCGACAUGAGGAUCUCUAAACUUGUCAUAACUUUUGCAUCCGAGCUCCGUUUUAGACCAUCUUCAUAUUCAUCUUGAUCUUCUUGAAGAGAGCCAUCUCAUGGUGACUUUCAAUAGUAAGUUUGAAUUAAUCUUGACACAACUUCAAGCCACUCUUUAUAAUCGUGCCACUUUUGAGCGUCAACACAUGCCCCCUGUUUUUCGGCAAAGCUAGCGUGCCGAAAAAUAACUUGUACCAAGUUUGUUCUAAGGACAAUGUCAACACUCCAUCGGCCAUUUAUAUGUUCUUAGGACGAUAAGUAUAUAUCGGCCAUGUCUUGUGUGAACUUCUUGAUGCAAACUUGGGUGAAGACUUCUCAACUUCCAUAACAAUCUGGUGAUAAGGUUCCAUAGAUCAAAACCAUCCUCUGAACCAUAUUGUUCACCCUUUCGCUAGGAUUUUGCAGAUAAUCAAGAAUGAACUCCUCCAAUCCUUACUUUGCCUGCAUAAAAGUUUCAUUAGUGGCCGAGGUGGUGAGCUCCAAUUCGGCCUUACCUAUGUUGGCAAGAAUAAGCAUUGGCUAUUGAUAGAUGUGCAAUACACCAUGACUGACGUGGUAGCCGGAUGCUUACUAAGCCAACUCUCUCCAAUUAUCAUGUCUAGAUAUAUGAGCAAUGCUAAAAUAAUCUAAAGUCGAAAUUAUAUGUAGCCAUUUAUCAAGAUAAACAUGAAGUGAUUCGUCAAAACAUAGAAAGACUUUGGAUAUUAGUUGCACUACUAAUAACGGACCACGAAAAUCCUCAAUAUGUGUAGCACCUAUUUCAAGUAACAUCUCUAAGCCGAAUAACAAUGCUUCAUAUUCGGCUUGAUUAUUUGUGCAAAAGUAUUCUAAGCGGCAUGAGGCUUCAAAAACAGCACCAUGAGGAGAUAUAUAAACAAUACCAACACCUUGGCCAUUGCUACAAAUUUAACCAUCAAUAUAUAAUCUCCAUAGUACUAGAAAGACAAGGCAAAUAUCAACAUUAUGCCCGAUGUUCAGUAAUAAAAUCAGUUAUGAUUUGGCCUCUUAUAGAUCUCAAAGAUGCAUAAGCCAAAUCAUAUCCAAACAAAGUAUAAGCCCACUAACCAAUUCUGCAACUAUGAAUUGGCCUAUGCAGCAUAUAUGGCAUCGGUCAUGAUGUCUCAACUCCAUUCAAUCAUAAUAUAGGCAUACAUAUAAAUUUCCAUGAGCACGUACCUUGUCUCUCUCUUCAAUCAAACUAAGGACGAUGUUAGAAUACUACACCGGCCAUGCAUUGACAUACUCUUAGGACGAUAGAUAAAUAUCGGCCAUUACCAUGUAAACUUCAUUCAAAGCACAUAUAGCCGAAAUAAACAAAUGAAAUGAAAAAUCAAGUAUUUCGGCCCUUUAGAUCAUCAACAAACUUGUAGCUAAUCAAAUGUACAGUGACUUGGUAAUACCCUUUCAUGACAUAAGAAAUUAUAUUGCAUCCAUGGAUUAAAAUAAGCCCAUUGAGGGUUACCAAUCAUACCUGAUGACAAAUUCCAUGGCAUAGGCAUUAAUGGCAUAGUUGAAGAAUAUGGAUAAUGUGUAGACCAAUGAUGUUGAAACCUUCGGCUUGGUCCUUCAUAGUUUUCACUCUUUUCCUUCUUCACCUUUGUUGCACUUCUUGUAAUGGAAGUUUGCACAUAAUUCUUAUUUUGAGCACUUCCUUUGGGAACCCAUGCCAUGUUCCUUUCUGCAAGUUCUUGUGCACUAAGCUUUUGUAAUUUCUUCUUUUGCCAAUACGGUAAGCCGAGCAGACAUCUCGGCUGUGAUUCUGUUUUGACCAAUGGCAAUUCCUUUUUGGCCUUGUGCACUCUCAACUUCUUCUCUUCAGAUUUGGCACUUGAUUGACUUUCAAUAAUUGGUUGCUUCGUCUCAUUGCCUUUCGUAGCCAAUGUCAACGCUUUAAUUGGCUCUUUUUCAUUUGAGAUCAAAUCUGAAGUUGCACUCUUACGACCAUCUCUUUUAACACGAUAAACUUGCUUGAACACCUCUUUCUUCAUCCUUGAGCUCUGGACCGAUUCCUUAUGAUUGAAACGGUCUUUAACAUGUGAUUGUUCAGAUAUUGAUCUUCUCGGAGCUGCAUAAUAUUGGUGAGAUGGUCUAAAAUAAGAUGGAGAAUGUGCCCUUGUAUCAUACCUGUCCCAUGAUGGAUAUGAAUCUAUAUGAGCAUAGGGAGGCAUCCACGACAUUGGCAUUGGUGACCCAAAAUAAGGAUACGAAUAUGUUGCAUUAAAAUUCUCACUUUGCCAAUACCAAUCCUCAUAUUUGCGCCUUGGGGGUGAUCUUGGUUUCUUUGCAUGAUUUGGCCGAUAAGCAUUCUUCUCUUCACUCUUCUUUCGAUAUUUAUCCAAUAGUUCAGUGAAGGUGAUUUUCGAUCUCUUACACUUGAGCUUAUUUCGGCCUUUGUUUUCUUUCGGUUUGCUUUCAUUGAUCAUUGGAUUUGCUUGCUGGCCCCCAGUCCUUUGCGUCUCCAUUGUAGCUUCGAUGGAAUUUUCGCCCUCAAGAUUAUGUUCAUUAUGCUCUUCAACAACUUCUUUACUUGAAAGCUUGAUCCCAUCACCUACAGUUUUUUACCUUCUCUUUAAAUGGAUCGGCUUGAAGCAGCCGAUGCAAAAACUUUCUACCAUCGGGACCAAUCGGAAUAGAUUGGUCAUCUCUUGGUGUCUCAACAAAUUUCAAUCGUCCUUUAUCAAUGGCCGAUUGAACUAUUUGACGAAACAUGUGGCAGUCCUCAAAAUUAUGCUUGGACGAAUCAUGCAACUUACAAUACAUUCGUCCUUGGAUAGAUGGCUUGACAUGGUGAUCAAGAAUUCUAAUGUAAUUAUUUUUCAACAACAAAUCAAAGAUUUGAUCACACAUGUUUGAAUCGAAGGUAUACCUUUUGUUUUCUAGCCGAUCUUGUUGUGAGAACGGCUUUGGAGUUAAGCAAACGAAUGGUUCAGAUUUUGCAUCUUCCCAUUCGGCUAUGAAUUCUCUUUCGCAUACUUUUUCUGAUGUCCUUAAAUAAGAAACUAUACUAGCAUCGGUUUUCCCAAAAGAUUUUAACCUUAGCUUUAAAUUUCUGAAAUCAAAGUAGUUAGAACAUACACGUCUCAACUGAGACCAUGCGUAAGCCAAGCAUGAAGCAAUCAAAGCUACCCAAUUAGAUAUGAACUUUAAAUAAAGCAAUGGGAAAAGCUUUCGCUGCAGUAAUAAGUCACUAUCGGUCUCUUUGAAUGGUACAAUAUAUUGGCCGAUAUGCUUAGUAACAAUUUUAUUGCUAACAAGUAAAUUGCCCUUCUUCAUUGGUCUUUGAAAAUUACUUAUUAGAAUUUUUCUAAUAGAUGCAUCAACAAUAAAGUUGUGGCCAAAUCUGAAAAUAGGUAAAUUACUUGCUAGACAUACCUCUUUAAAUAUGUUGGGAGAGCAUGAUGAUUGCAUAUGAUGAAUAAUAUUGUGCUUUGCUUCUGGAUGACUUCCCAACACCAUGUCACAAUUUUCUUCUUGAUUUCGUGCAUCAUAAAUUUGAAUAUCUCCGUCAACCGAACUUUGUUCGGCUACUUGCUCUUGUCCUUGAAGCUUGUCAAUUUCUAUGGCACGAAACUCAUAGGGCAGGAAGUAGGUUCCAUUAACUUUAGAAAAAUCAAACAUGGUUGUUUUUCUAUGCUUGUCAUGCCCUUUCUUAAUAAUCCUUGCCUCUUUGGAUUUGAUGGAUUCGUAAUAUAUACUACUUGAUUCGGCUUUUUCAACCGAAGCACUUUCAAGUUCCGAAUCAUCCUUCUUUUCAUUGAUACUACCAAUUGGCAAUGCUUCUUUUAUCUGAGCCAAUUCUUUUUCUAUUUGUUUCUGGCGGCGGGCGGCAAAGUUGGCUUGAAGUUUUUUCUCAAUUUCAGCCCACUCUAGAUAUGAUUGCCCCCCAAUGGCUUUAGAUUCUUUCGACAAUGACACACGGGUGUUGCCGAAAUUUUGCAAUAGUGUAGGGGGUGUAUAAUAUGAUGUAGUACUAGGUGAAGGCAUAUGCAUGGUUGUAAAACCAUAUUUUUGCUCGCGAAUUUUAUCAAUUGGCAAAGAUUCAUCUUCUUGCAAAACUCUAGCUUUUAUUGCGGCAUAAUCAGGAAAUAGCCCCUUUUCAUGUUGUUCAAGGCAAAGAGCACUAAUCCUCUUAUUUUGGGCUAAACUCUUCAAUGUAGCCACCACUACCUCAUCUUCUACAAUAUUUGGCACAACCGCUCCUGUAAAAUUUACAUUUAUUCGGCUAUGACCAGAAAGGUGUGAAGCCAAAUUAUGAGCAUCUACAGUUGUGUAUGGUGCCGAAAAAUUACUAACAUGAGGUGUAGCAUAUGAUGGUUGAGAGUAACUGGCCGAAUAGCUAGUAGUAGCAUGGCCAAUUCUCCCAUCCAUCGGCAAGGUUGGAUUCACAUAUUGCAAAUUAGUUGCCGAUAAAUAAAAAGGUGAAACACUUUCUUGUAUGCUAUUGGAAAUUUUAACAUGAGGUGUUUCAAAUUGAUUAACCAAACCCAUCAUGUUGUUUAUCGGCAUAUGGAUUUGUGGGGUUGCCGAUGCAUGAGAGUUUCGAUACAUAUGUUGUAUGUUGCUAAAAUCAUAAGAAUUUGAAGCAAGAAGAUUAUUUUGCAUCGGCCCUUGCGCAUAAUUAGAUGCAUAAUUGAUAAAACUAGGGCUAGCCGAUACAUUAUGCUCAUUAGGUGAUCCAGCAACAACUUAUGGAUUAUUUGCAUCUACAAAGGGGAAUUGGGUAUUCAUAUUACCUUUGUAGAUUGCAGCAAAUUGAUGACGAUCUCUUCGUAGCAAGAACGGGCUGGAGACCGUUCAAAGCUUUGAUCCCCAGCGGAGUCGCCAAAAAGUGUGUUCGCACACGAACACGUCACCGUGUAUCUCCAACGCCGAGGGUGAUGCACCGCAGCUCACGUCGAAGGAGACCUGUCCGGAAGCGCGGUACGCAAGCAAUCCGGCGGGUGCUUUUCAGGACCCGAAACCCCACGCGCCCGGGAGGGACCCCGUCUGGACGUGCGGCGGCUAUGGGCUGCCCUAGGUCGGUUUGCCCGCCCCUAGAGCCUCGAGGAUCGCUGCCCUUCAACACGAAGAACGAGCGAAGAAAGAGAGAGAAAGAACAAGGGAUGGAUGUAAAACUAGGGUAAAAAGUAGAUGUGUUUUGCGAUUGUGUGUUGUUUCAAUCGGCCGUCACCCCCAACAUAUAUAAGAGGCGGCUGGACUUCCCGUACAAGCAAAGGGUUUAUCUAGGCUUUCCUUACAAGAAAAUUACAUCAAUUCACGUCCAAAACCCUAGUCAAAUUCGGACUGGUUUUAUCCGAACUUCCCAAAACUGUUCGGUUUAAACUGGCUGCACCUUGCGGGUCCUUUUUGCGGUGGUAAACGAUCUCGGAUGAACACAAGCCCAAAAGCAAUCUUGACUGUUUCGACGAGACGAACAACUUUCAUGUUGAAGGGUUUUUGAUCAGAGAUCAUCUUGAGCGUCAAAUCUGUCUCGCAACACAGGCUAUCUCCUCGCGCUACCCGCCAGACAUGUGUCUGGUGGGGCGCGCCACAUCUCGCCUCGUGAUAGGGCUGCACUCUGAUUGCUCUAACUUUUGCAUACGACCUCGGAUUGGGACGAUCUUUAUAUCAAAAUCGAUCGCUUCGACGAGACGCACAACUUUCAUGUUGAAACUUUAUCAAUUUGAGGCCAUCUUAAUGGGGUUUCUAUCCAUUCUUUAAUCUGGUGUCGACAUGAGCAUCUCUGAACUUGUCAUAACUUUUGCAUCCGAGCUUCGUUUUAGACCAUCUUCAUAUUCAUCUUGAUCUUCUUGAAGAGAGCCAUCUCAUGGUGACUUUCAAUAGUAAGUUUGAAUUAAUCUUGACACAACUUCAAGCCACUCUUUAUAAUCGUGCCACUUUUGAGCGUCAACACCGGCAUAUCAUUUUCUGGCAGAGUGCCCCCUCAGCUCGGCAACCUCUCAAACCUGCAGCAUCUUGACCUCUCAUGCCAAAUUUACACAUGUAGUAUGCACUCAAGAGACAUUUCAUGGGCGGCACGCAUCCCUAACUUGCAGUACCUUGGAAUGAGUUCGGUAAACCUAAGCACAAUAGUUGACUGGCCUUAUGUUGUUAAUAUGAUUCCUUCCUUGAGGGCCCUCAAUCUUGGGUUUUGCUCUCUUCCAACCGCAAACCAAUCACUACCACAUAUUAACCCUACCAAACUCGAGAGGCUUGAUCUCUCCGGCAACAUCUUUGCCCACCCAAUGGCAAGGAGUUGGUUUUGGAAUUUGACGGGCCUCCAGCAUCUCUACCUUGCUGAAACUCAACUAUAUGGUCAAGCUUCUGAUGCACUGGCACAUAUGACGUCCCUCCAAGUCCUUGAUUUGUCAUCUAUUAACAUGGUGAUGAUGACUACAAGCUUCAGAAACCUAUGCAAUAUGAGAAUCCUGGACCUUUCUGCCUGUCAAAUUGUUGGAAAUAUAAAGGAUAUUGUAGGGAGGAUGCCCCAGUGUCCCUUGAAGAAACUGCAGGAGUUGCAUUUGGGCUACAACAAUAUCAGUGGAAUCAUGCCGAAUCGGACAGCACACUUGAGCAGCCUAGUCGUUCUUGACAUCUCUGGGAACAACCUAAGUGGAGGCAUACCACGAGGGGUGGGGCUCCUCUCUAGUUUAAGCAGCCUUGAUCUCUCUUCCAACUAUCUCAGUGGACCUGUGCCAUCUGAGAUUGGUAUGCUUGGCAAUUUAACCAUGAUGGAUCUCGGAGGCAACAACUUGAGUGGUGACUUCACUGAAGAACAUUUUACAAGUCUAACUAGGUUAAAGGAUUUGGGUUUAAGUGGGAAUUCAUUGAGGAUUACAGUUGGUACCGAUUGGAUACCGCCCUUCGUUUCCAGCAUGGUUUCAGUUCCAAGAGGACAUUCGCUGGAUGGAUAUAUCAAGCACAGGUAUAGUUGAUAAACUUCCUGACUGGUUCAUCACUACAUUUGCAAAGGCCACACAUCUGGACAUCUCCAACAACAAAAUCAGCGGUAGCUUGCCAAGAAACAUGGAAUUCAUGUCAUUGAGUGAGUUCUAUAUCAGUUCAAAUAAACUAACUGGUGAAAUCCCGAACUUACCAAGAGAUAUUACCGUGCUGGACAUGUCUGAAAACUCUUUAUCUGGAAAUUUGCCAUCAAACAUUGGGACUCCAAAUUUGAUUUCAUUAGUGCUGCUCUCCAAUCAAAUAACUGGUCAUAUUCCCCAAUCUCUCUGUAAAGCGGAAGGCUUGUAUGCCUUGGACUUAAACAACAAUCUUUUUGAGGGACAACUUCCUCACUGUUUAGGGGUGAAGAACAUUAUUUCCUUUCUCAUGUUGAGUAACAAUAGAUUCUCUGGCAACUUCCCAUCGUUUCUAAAAAAUUGUAGACAAUUGACGUCUCUAGAUCUAUCACAUAAUAGUUUUUCCGGAAGGUUGCCAUUGUGGAUUAGAGAUCUGGUUGAAUUACGAUUUCUACGUCUAAGCCAGAAUAUGUUUUUUGGAGAAAUCACCGCCACCAUCUCAAAUCUUAGUCGUCUUCACCAUCUGAACCUAGCAGGCAAUGGCUUAUCAGGUGCCAUACCGUGGCAUCUGUCAAAUGUGACGGCCAUGACAAGAAAGUAUGUAAAGGAUUAUAAGGUUGACUCAAAUUAUGGUGAUUACUCGACUGUGAUCCGUACAUAUAAUUUUUCCUCUGUGGUCAUCAAGGGACAUCAACUUGACUAUGGUAUUGGCAUUUGGGAUUUGGUGAGCAUUGACCUAUCUUUCAACCAAUUAACUGGGAGAAUACCAGAAGAAAUAGCUGCUCUUGAUGGGUUGAUAAACUUGAAUCUAUCAUGGAACCAAUUGAGUGGGAAAAUACCAAAUAAGCUUGGGGCCUUGCAUGCUCUGGAAUCACUUGACCUCUCAAGGAACAUGCUUUCUGGUGGAAUCCCUCCAAGCCUGUCAGAUUUAAACUAUUUGAGCUACAUGGACUUGUCUGAUAACAAUCUAACAGGGAGAAUAACAUCAGGUCGUCAGCUUGACACCCUCUACACAGAGGAACCAUCCAUGUAUAGUGGCAACAGUGGUCUUUGUGGCCCUCCUCUUUGAAAUAGUUGCCCAGGAAAGAAUGUAACAAGGCAAGAGGAUCAAAAAAGGAAUGAACAUUCCUUUGACCCAAUGACCUUUUAUUUUGGACUCGCUCUAGGAUUUAUUCUAGGUCUCUGGGUGGUGUUCUGCAUCUUGUUGUUUAAGAGAGCAUGGAGGAUUGCUUAUUUCCGCCUGGUUGACCGGACAUAUGAUCGGGUGUAUGUGUUUGUCGUUAUCACAUGGAAAAGCUGCACCAGAAAGGGAACUGCAAAUUGAGUAAGAAGAGCUCUGAAGAAGCAUGAAGCAGCAUAUUAGGCUGAGAUUUUUAUUUCCUUGAAGUUAAUAUAAAGGAUAUUGAUGAUUUGUAAUUGUCUAUGUGUGUAUGAUAAUACUUUUGAACUCCUGUAUUGGCUACUGCUCAGAUGUUGUGCUGAUUGUUGGUUCUAUUGCUUCAUGGUUUAGAGUUUCACAGUUGGCAUAGCUUGUAUGGGACUCCUGUAUUUCCUUGCUUGAAGUUAUUAUAGUGUAUAUUGAUUAUGCCUUCAAGUUAAUGUUGUAGAAGUGCAUUCUCUAGCCAAUGCAACGAAAAGACCGAUCUGAUGGAAGAGACUAGGCAGCACAUUAUACGUCAACACCCCCCCCCCCCUCACGUGUGGCUCCCUCAGGCCUAAACAUGGACCGAAAGUGGGUUGCAAUUUAAUUGCGUCAGUCGGGUCUUGAACUCGAGACCUCUUGGCUCCGAUACCAUGUAGAAGUGCAUAUUGUAAAUGAUGAUUCCUAAUUGUUGUAUAUGCUUGUAUGUCAUAAUACUUUUGAACUCAUGUAUUUGCUAUUGUUCAGAUGUUUGUGUUGACUGGUUGUUCCAUAGCUUCAUCGUUUGGAGUUUCACAGUUGGCAUAGCCUGUAUGGGACUCUGUUUUUCUGUUCUCUAGUAGAGUACUGGACGCGAGUAAGAGGAAAGUUAAUGUAAUGAUAAUACCAGCCAGCAAGCUAGGAGCUUUAGCCCACCCCCAGUCUGCGAGUUAUUGGCGGACAUCUACUCAUGUACAAGAAAUCUGUGGCAUAUUUAGACAGCAGCGACACCAUGGCCUGGAGCCAUUUUCCUCUCUGUAAUUUGGAGCAAUCUGAAAAGUAAUAAAACUGAGAUCACAGGCGUAAACAUGAUAAAACCUAGCCAUAUUGCUACCUUUCCAGAAUACUGCAGUCUGCAGCCAAACCCACAGCUACUAGCUGCCUAUCUUUACUAGGGAAUUUCUCUAUCCGGGAUCUAAAACCAUCUACAUUUUCAAGCAUGUCUCUAAAGCCUGCAGAGCUCCUAACAUACCUUGCUGAUGUACAUCUAAAGUGAUUAUCUCUUGUUAGAAUGCUCUUUUUCAGCAGCAACCACAUAAACACUUUUACUUUUAAAGGGAUUUUAACACACCACAUCUUCCCAAUGCGUUCAGUUAACUUGGCUAGACUUCAAAAUCGCAUACAGAGAUCGAACUGUAAACCUCCCAGAUUUAGUUGGAAGUCGGAACUACACCACCACUAAAGCAGAACAUUUUCAUGACCUACCGAAUUGAUGGUUGUCAGUUUUGUGGUGGCUUGUUUCCUUCUAUGUGUGCAAACUCUUUCGCUUCCUUCUAUAUAUUUGACACAAUUCUCAAACACAACAGAUUACAACUUGCUAUCACCAAUUAGCUAGCAGAUUUUUCUAGUAAAACGGAAAUAUGUAUGUAUACAGGGAUUCUUGUAAGAAGCACAUGUUAAUGCUCGAAAUUUUUGUUUAUUCAAUGGUAAUUAUAGUUACUUUUUCAGGUACAGAAGUAAGAACUUGGUUAAUGAGCUGUAGCAGGCAAGACAAAAUAGCAGUAUUCCAAAGAAAGUAUGCAGCAUAUGAAAAUCCAAACUUGCAGCUCCAGCAUGGUGCCAAUAAUUAAUUAAUUUCAAUCCAUUGAAAUGGCUCUACGCUCCCGUGGCGCUCCCGCGGGUGCCCCUAGGAGGGAACCCUAGCGCUGCCGCCCCCGUUACUUCGCUCCAUCCCCCCCCUCCCUCGCCGCCGCCGGUUGCGUCGCCGGCCAAAGGCCGCGUGGCGCGGGCGGCGGCGGGGCGGCUCUCUCCCUUGCGCGGUGGCGGUCGUCGCGGGGCGGCCUCCCCUGCCCGGUGGCGUCAGGCGCCGGCUUGCCUCUGCUCCGGCCUCCCUCCUCCGCCCCGCUCCCUGGUGACCAGCCGGCGUCGCCUCCUCCCCUCCACCCCCUUCUGGAGGCCCGGGGACGUGCUGGCGGCGGAUCUGGCGCCCCCUGCCCAGAUCCGGCAGGUGGUGGCGGUUGGCGGCUUCAGGGGCGAACGACGGCCCCUUUAAGGUGGUGGUGCUGCAGCCGGGGCUCAUCCUCUCCGGUGGGGUGGCUGGGCACCGGCUGGACCUGGCCAGGGCGUGGAGACGUGGGGGGUGUGGUGCGCGCGGCCGAUCUCUUGCUGGUUCCGGACGGAUCUGGUGUUGGGGGCUGGCCGGCGGCACAUGGAUUCGAUGGUGCGUGCCCGGCGGCUUCGGCGCUUGGAGCUCGUGGGGCGACUCGGGUAGGGUAGCGGUCGGGCGUGGCCGCUGCUUCGGCCGUGGGCCGCGGCGAGGGAAGGUCCGUGGUGGUGCCCUCCCACUACUAGGGAAAAGGCUAUACACAGAAUCUUACCAGCAGCGCGCUUUAAAAUCAGGCGCUGCUGCUAAGUAGCAGUAGCGCGGGCCAUAGAAACUCGCCGCUGAAACAAGUUUAUCAGUAGCGCGUGCACUCCAAGAAGCGCUACUGCUAAAAUUCCCACGACGCCACCGCGAGGCCAGUUAUAGCAGCAGCGCAUUAAAAUAAACAGCGCUACUGCUACGUAACGUAGCAGUAGCGCAUUCAGGCAAUAAUCGCUACUGCUAAAUUAACUACAAAAAUUUAGUCCCACCUCGCUCCGUGAAGAGAGUUUUACCCACCUUAAAUAUGUUUCUUCUACAACUUUCACAAGCACUUGGUCUUUAUUGAACUCUAUGUGUAGGAUAUGUGGCCGCAAUUGGAGUCUUCGCCAGUUCUUAAACCAACCGGCGAGGAUUCCUAUUGACAAAUCAGAUUGUACACAAAAAGACCAUUGAUAAUCAAUGUAUUUUUUAUGUCUAUGUCUAUUUUUACAUACUGACACAUAGCAGUAGCGCGUUCAUGCCGAAAGGCGCUACUGAUAGGUCGCUUAGCAGUAGCGCGUUUACCUAUAGAUCACACUCACACACACUCACGGUCUCCUCCUCACCCCCCGCGCCGCCGGUCCUCCCCCGUCGCCCCUCCCCCGAUCUGCGCCGCUGUUGCCUCAUCCUCCUGGCUGGACUCGGUACCGGCCUCCUCCUCUGUCCUCCCUCCACUCGCCGCUGGCCGCCACCUCCUCGGUCCGCCUUCCUCCUCGAUCCGUCCUCCCUCCACUUGCCGCCGGCCGGUGAAAGCACAAGUGCUCCUCAGGUGGUUUUGGUAAUUAAUGUCAACAUAUCUCUUGUUGGACUAACACUUUUAUCUAGUAUGUUUCAGAUAAGUUCAACAAUGGAGUGGCAUGGACUAAAGGUUGUGGGAACUCCUUCAAGAUGCUAAGGACAAAGGAUUGGCUAAAGCUUCAAGCUCAAGACUCUUCAUUUUACAUUUUAGUGAUCCAAGAUCACAUUGAGUCCAUAGGAAAAGCCAAUAUUAUCAAGGAGGGAUGAGGUGUUUCUUAAUGAGCCCUUUGCUUUAUGUGCUUAAUGAUAUGCUCCAAAAUCCUCAACUACUUUCCCACUUCCACAUAUGACCUAAACACCAAGCCAAACUCGGUUCUACCGAUUCUUUCUAUCCGGCGCCACCGAGUUUCAUAUGUCAUAAGCCACUGCCAAACCCUAGCAAAUCGGUUCUACCGAUAGGGAUCUCGGUCUCACCGAGAUGGGAUUGUAAUCUCACUGUGUAUGUCCAUUACCAAAAUCGGUCUCACCGAGUUUAGGCAAUCGGUACUACCGAGAUUACAAUGCAAACUCUCUGGUUAACUCAUUACCAAAAUCGGUCCAACCGAGUUUAGUAAUCGGUCCCACCGAGUUUGCCUGACCAACUCUCUGGUUAGCUAAUUACCAAAUCGGUCUCACCGAGUUUGUGUAAUCGGUCUCACCGAGAUUACGUUAUGCCCAAACCCUAACUAUAUCGGUCCUACCGAGAUGCAUGUCAGUCCCACCGAAAAUCUCUAACGGUCACUAGGUUUACCUUUUCGGUCUGACCGGGUUUGUUGAUUCGGUCCCACCGAGAUUGGUAAAUUGUGUGUAACGGUUGGAUUUUAAGUGGAGGCUAUAUAUACCCCUCCACCUCCUCUUCAUUCAUGGAGAGAGCCAUCAGAACACAUCUACACUUCCAACUCAUAUGUUCUUAGAGAGAACUUCCUACCCUUGUGUUGAGACCAAGAUAUUCCAUUCCUACCAUAUGAUUCUUGAUCUCUAGCCUUCCCCAAGUUGCUUUCCACUCAAAUCUUCUUUCCACCAAAUCCAAAUCCUGUGAGAGAGAGUUGAGUGUUGGGGAGACUAUCAUUUGAAGCACAAGAGCAAGGAGUUCAUCAUCAACACACCAUUUGUUACUUCUUGGAGAGUGGUGUCUCCUAGAUUGGCUAGGUGUUACUUGGGAGCCUCCGACAAGAUUGUGGAGUUGAACCAAGGAGUUUGUAAGGGCAAGGAGAUCGCCUACUUCGUGAAGAUCUACCGCUAGUGAGGCAAGUCCUUCGUGGGCGAUGGCCAUGGUGGGAUAGACAAGGUUGCUUCUUCGUGGACCCUUCGUGGGUGGAGCCCUCCGUGGACUCGCGCAACCGUUACCAUUCAUGGGUUGAAGUCUCCAUCAACGUGGAUGUAGGAUAGCACCACCUAUCCGAACCACGGGAAAAACAUCCGUGUCUCCGAUUGCGUUUGAAUUCUCCAAACCCUUCCCUUUACAUUCUUGCAAGUUGCAUGCUUUACUUUCCGUUGCUCAUAUACUCUUUGCAUGCUUGCUUGAUAUGUAUUGUGUAUGUUGAAAUUGUGCCUAAAACUCCACUCAAACCGAAAAAGAUUAAAAAUUGCAACUUUAGCACUAAGUGUCUAAUCACCCCCUCUAGACACACCUACUUCUAGAUCCUACAAGUGGUAUCAGAGCUUUGGUCUCCAUUGCCUUGGUUUAAUCACCAUUGGAGGAAGAUGGAUGUGUCUACUUUAGGGAGUCUUAGACAUAGAGUGCCUAUUCUUGAUGGAGAGUAUUUUCAUGAAUGGAAAAAUGAGAUGCUUGUGAUUUUCAAUCAAUAUCAUUUGAACAAGUAUAUUGCUAGUCCUUGUGCUCCUCAUGUUGAUCCUAUGCAUCCCACCCUAGAUGAAGAUGUUGACAUGAUUCGCAAUCUUAGAACCGUUGAGCUCAUCAUUAGAGGAUUGUCCAAAAACUUGAUUGCUUGUUUACCUACUCUUAAUUGUGCCUAUACUAUAUGGAAAUUUCUUGAGGAACGAUUCCCCGAUUAUUCCUUGAAAAAUUUGGAUGAAAUUCUCAAUAAAUCUAUUGCCAUGAGUAAAAUGAACUCUAGUGAUCCUAGUUUUGGUGACUGUCUACUUGAGCUUACUAAUCUCAUGCAUGCUAAAGGAAAUGUUGGAAUCAUUAGUGAUAUUAUAUCCGAAGCUAUAAGAAUUCAUAAAAGUGACCACUUUGAUGAUCGUCUAUCUAAUGAAUCACUUUCUCUAGGAAAUGAUGAAUCACAAGAUCAUAUUGAACAUGGAUACUAUGAUGAGGAUGAUGAUAGUGACUUCGAUCUUGAUGAUGCAAUGAGACACUUUGGUCUUAUGGCAAACCUUCGAGGAUAUGUGUCAGGAGGAAAGGAAUGGGUUCUCGACAGCGGAUGUACCGAUCAUAUGACCGGAGACGAAGAGAUGUUCCGUGAGCUUGCUGAAAAUGACGGCCCUCGAAAGUAUGUCACCUUUGGUGAUAAUUCAAAGGGUAAGGUGGUUGGCCUUGGUAAGGUGGCCAUCUCACACGAUAGCUCCAUUCAAAAUGUCAUGCUUGUUGAAUCUCUUGGCUACAACUUACUUUCAGUAUCUAGACUUGCUGAUUUCGGAUUGAAUGUCCUAUUUACUAAGGUAGAUUGCCAAGUGUUUCAUCGAGAUAAUCAUAAAAUGGUCUUUACCGAUAUACGUAGAGGUGACCUUUACAUUGUUGAUUUCUCUAAAAAGGCACAACCUAAAACUUGCUUUAUUGCUAAAUCCUCAAAAGGUUGGUUGUGGCAUAGACGACUAGGUCAUGUUGGCAUGAGAAAUCUUGACAAGCUUAUUAAAGGAAAUCAUAUCCUUGGAGUUAACGAUGUCAUAUUUGAUAAGGAUAGACUUUGCAAUGCUUGUCAAGCAGGUAAACAGGUUGGAGGAAGGCAUCCCGUGAAGAACAUCAUGACCACAAGGAGGCCACUCGAGCUACUUCAUAUGGAUCUUUUUGGUCCCAAUGCCUACAAGAGUCCCGGUGGAAAUUCUUUUGGUCUAGUCAUAGUUGAUGAUUUUUCAAGAUUUAUGUGGGUGUUCUUUAUUGAUGAUAAAUCGCAGGUCCAAAAGAUCUUCAAAAACUUCGCUACGAAGGCCCAAAAUCAGUUUGACGUGAAGAUCAAGAAGGUUCGGAGUGACAACGGAACGGAGUUCAAGAACGCAAAUGUGGAUACCUUUCUUGAUGAAGAAGGGAUUUCACAUGAGUGCUCGGCUACGUACACACCUCAACAAAAUGGAGUUGUUGAGAGGAAGAACCGGACGCUCAUCGAAAUGGCCAGAACGAUGCUUGAUGAGUACAAGACGCCGAAGCACUUUUGGGCAGAAGCGGUUGAGACGGCUUGUCAUGCAACAAAUCGCUUGUAUCUUCACAAGCUACUCGGCAAGACGGCAUACGAGCUCCUCACCGGUAACAAACCCCAAGUUGGAUACUUUUGAGUAUUUGGCUCAAAGUGCUACAUUCUAGAUAAGCAUCAUCGUUCAAAGUUUGCUCCUAAAUCUCAUGAAGUUUUCCUACUUGGUUAUGGCUCAAACUCUCACACUUACCGUGUCUACAACAAUUUCACCCGAAAGUUUGAAGAAACGGUAGAUGUGAAGUUUGAUGAAUCUAAUGGCUCGCAAGUAGAGCAAUUGCCAAUUGAUGUAGGAGACAAAGACCCUUCAGAAGCAAUCCAAGACUUGUCUAUUGGCAAAAUUCGUCCAACAGAGGUGAAGGAGAGUACCUCGUCCGUCCAAGUGGAAGCUUCUACUUCACGACAAGGUGAACCAAGAAUUGACACGGAGGCAUCCACAAGUGGGACACACCAAGAUGAAGAAAACGAGGAAAUGCGUCAAGACGAACAUCAACAACCUCCUUCUCCACCACGACAAGAGAACGACAACGCCAACAAUGAAGAAGGCCAAGAAGAAGAACAAGAUGAAGAAGAUGUUCAAUGAAGACCCAAGCAAAGGCUUUCACGAGUUCGAGCAAGAAUUGCCAAAGAUCAUCCCGUUGAGCAAAUCUACAAUGAUAUCCAAACCGGGAGAAUUACUCGCUCAAAAACUCGUUUAGCUAACUUUUGUGAAAACUAUUCAUUCAUCUCUAGCAUUGAACCUAUGAAGGUCGAAGAAGCAUUGGAAGAUCCGGAUUGGAUAAAUGCUAUGCAUGAAGAGCUACACAACUUUGAGAGAAACCAAGUUUGGACAUUGGUUGAGAAGCCCGACGACAACCACAACAUCAUUGGUACCAAAUGGGUGUUUCACAAUAAGCAAGAUGAAGAUGGACAAGUGGUUCGCAACAAAGCACGUCUCGUCGCCCAAGGGUACACACAAGUCGAAGGUAUGGACUAUGGUGAGACAUAUGCUCCCGUUGCUAGACUUGAGUCCAUUCGCAUCUUACUUGCCUAUGCUAAUCACCAUAAUAUCACCUUGUACCAAAUGGACAUUAAAAGUGCUUUUCUAAAUGGUGAAAUAGAGGAGGAAGUUUAUGUCAAACAACCUCCCGGCUUUGUCAAUCCUAAGAAACCUAAUCAUGUUUACAAACUUCACAAAGCUCUUUAUGGUCUUAAACAAGCUCCUAGAGCAUGGUAUAAAUGCUUGACUAAAUUCCUUAUUGCAAGUGGUUUUGAAAUUGGAAAAAUUGAUUCCACACUGUUUACUAAAAGAGUUGAUGGAGAACUAUUUGUCUGCCAAAUUUAUGUUGAUGAUAUCAUAUUUGGUUCUGCUAACCCUCUUUUUAGUGAAAAGUUUGGAAAGCUUAUGUCGAAGAAGUUUGAGAUGUCUAUGAUGAGUGAACUCAAAUUCUUUCUCGGUUUGCAAAUCAAGCAAACAAAGGAAGGUACAUUUAUCUCUCAAACGAAGUACACCAAAGACUUAUUCAAGAAGUUCAAUAUGCAAGAAUGCAAAGGUAUGUCUACACCCAUGCCUACUAGUGGACAUAAUGAUUUGACCAAAGAUGGUGAACCGGUUGAUCAAAAGGUUUAUCGCUCUAUGAUUGGUUCAUUGUUAUACCUAUGUGCCUCACGUCCCGACAUUAUGCUAAGUGUGUGCAUGUGUGCACGAUAUCAAGCUGCUCCUAAAGAAUGUCAUCUUAAGGCCGUGAAAAGGAUAGUGAGAUACUUAAUCCAUACACCAAAUUUUGGCAUUUGGUAUCCUAAGAGGUCCUCUUUCGAUCUUGUUGGGUAUUCCGACUCGGAUUAUGCCGGAGACAAGGUUGAUAGAAAGUCCACUUCGGGUACGUGUCAAUUUCUUGGUAGAUCUCUUGUGUCUUGGUCCUCCAAGAAACAAAACUCGGUAUCCUUAUCCACCGCCGAAGCGGAAUACAUUACCGCUGGUUCAUGUUGUGCUCAAUUACUUUGGAUGACCCAGACUCUUAAAGAUUAUGGAGUCUAUGUGAAACAUGUUCCAUUGCUUUGUGACAAUGAAAGUGCCAUCAAAAUUGGUCAUAAUCCUGUGCAACAUUCUCGAACUAAGCAUAUUGAAGUUCGUCAUCAUUUCAUUCGAGACCAUGUUGCAAAGGGUGACAUUGAUCUUAAACAUGUUCGCACCGAUAAGCAAUUAGCAGAUAUAUUCAUUAAACCGCUUGAUGAGAAAGUGUUUUGCAGGCUGAGAGGAGAAUUGAACAUCAUUGAUGCUUAGAACUUGGAGUAGAAACUCCAUUGGAUACAUGCAAGACAUGAGCUUAUGUCCAAUCCUUGAUAUAUCUCUUAUGAUGACUAUCUUAUGUCUUGGAUAUAUUUGCAUCUUGCAUGUUAUCUAACCCAUGUAGGUACUUGGGUGAAUCUAAUUCUAUGAGAUCGCAACUCACUCACAUCUUGAGCAAUCUCUACAUCACCAAGUCUCUACACAACGGUGGUUGAAGACAAGGAAGCACGAAACCACUCAAACAUAUCCUUUGACAAAUUCUAUGUUGAGCUUCAUGAUUGUCAUUUUUGGAUAUACAAGUGCCUUUCCUUGCAAGAACUAACCCAUGUAGGUGGAUGAACUCAAAUUUCAAGUGGUGCUCCCAACUCUUGAUGAGCUACAUCAACCUUGAGCACCCACACAAGUUCCACUACAUGAGCAAGACCCACACCACCACCCAAGGUAUGAUAUUCCAUCUUAGAGAAGCUUUACUCAAAGACAUGAGUCAAAGCAACUCAACAAGAUGUGAAUACAUCAAGAUGCUUAAACGAAAAAUGGUAACCCCAUUUUGAGCUUAAACGAUGAGUAUGACCUAUGAUCAAGUGUUCUCACUUGACUCCUAAGUCAAUAUACUCUAACAUAGGUGACUAUGUCACCACCCAAUUCUAGAUGAAGUUCUCUUGAGUUUCCUUUCUUUGUGUGUUGUUGCAUUAGUUCCUUGCAUAUUUAUUUCCCUCUUUAUAUUCAAAAAAAACUUCAUCUAGAACUUUUAUCCUUUUCUUUUUGAUUUUUGUCCUGCAUAUUUCUGCAUCAAAUUCCUUGCAAAUCUUUCAGUUAAUUCAUUGCAAAUCUUUGUGAGAUCUUAUUUGACUAGUGAGCUAAGGUGACAAGUGUUUUCUCUGUAGUGAACUCGGUUUCACCGGAGUAUAAUUCUCGGUCCAACCGAAUCUCUUCGGCACAACCGAAAAUUGCCCCUCGGUGUCACCGAUUUCGCAACAGGAAAAACAGCUUGCCAUUUAUUCUAUAUUUCUUCUGAUCCAGCUCCACUCGAUGAAUCUUAUCCUCUACAAGCAUCUUAGUUUUAUUCAUUGCUUUCUGCUGAAUCUCAAGGACCAAACCCAUUCGACAGAAUCCAGAAAAACCUUCUUGGAAAUUGAUGUCAAAGGGGUAGAGAGAGAUCACAUCAAAGCUCAUCAUCUUCAAAGGAGAAAGUAUUAAGGGGGAGAAAGAGAUCUCCGGGGUAAGAGAACACUCAAGGAUCCCAGAUGCUUGAUAUUCAAGAGGAGAGAUGCCACAUGUCUUUUUGGGGGAAAGACAUGUUCGUAUGUGCUUAUUUGCAUUAAGUUCUAUUCAUUUAUAUCCUUCAGCCUGAUUUUCUGUUCCCUAUCUUCUCCCAAUAUCCCAUGUCAGAUUCAGGGGGAGCAAGACAUCUAAGGGAAAGAAAUCAUUCAAAUUCAUUGCAUAUCUUUACUCUUGGGGACAUGUCUAAUCCAAUAUAGUACCUUGUACUCACUCUCUACAUGUCAUCCCAGUCUUGGUAUUCUUGUGGUUUUCUUUGGUUUGCUCUGGCUAGUGGAUGUACCUGUGUUAUCUAACCUUGUUUAUGCAGGUUCAUUCCAUCCUAAGCCAACUCAAGACUACAAGGUAAGUAUAUGCAUCAGAAUCAUGAGUAUGAGGAAUUCUUGCUUAUGUACAUACUGUUUGCAAGAAGGACUCAUAAGCAUGAAGGUAUUUCUCUUUAAAAUCUUUUGCUCUGAUGCAUAUGGCCAAGAUACAUGUAACACAUUGCCUACUCUGUCAUGAUUAUGCUCUCACAUGCUUCUACAUUUUAUUUUCACAUGAUUGCAUACAUGUAGGGGGAGCCUAUGGUUGUUACAUGUCCUUCCAAAGCUUUACUUGCUAUUCUUUGUAUCUUUAUCUAAAGCUUUGAUGUAUGUUUCCAUCAAUUACCAAAAAGGGGGAGAUUGAAAGCACAAGUGCUCCUCAGGUGGUUUUGGUAAUUAAUGUCAACAUAUCUCUUGUUGGACUAACACUUUUAUCUAGUAUGUUUCAGAUAAGUUCAACAAUGGAGUGGCAUGGACUAAAGGUUGUGGGAACUCCUUCAAGAUGCUAAGGACAAAGGAUUGGCUAAAGCUUCAAGCUCAAGACUCUUCAUUUUACAUUUUAGUGAUCCAAGAUCACAUUGAGUCCAUAGGAAAAGCCAAUACUAUCAAGGAGGGAUGAGGUGGUGCUUAAUGAGCCCUUUGCUUUAUGUGCUUAAUGAUAUGCUCCAAAAUCCUCAACUACUUUCCCACUUCCACAUAUGACCUAAACCCCAAGCCAAACUUGGUUCUACCGAUUCUUUCUAUCCGGCGCCACCGAGUUUCAUAUGUCAUAAGCCACUGCCAAACCCUAGCAAAUCGGUUCUACCGAUAGGGAUCUCGGUCUCGCCGAGAUGGGAUUGUAAUCUCACUGUGUAUGUCCAUUACCAAAAUCGGUCUCACCGAGUUUAGGCAAUCGGUACUACCGAGAUUACAAUGCAAACUCUCUGGUUAACUCAUUACCAAAAUCGGUCCAACCGAGUUUAGUAAUCGGUCCCACCGAGUUUGCCUGACCAACUCUCUGGUUAGCUAAUUACCAAAUCGGUCUCACCGAGUUUGUGUAAUCGGUCUCACCGAGAUUACGUUAUGCCCAAACCCUAACUAUAUCGGUCCUACCGAGAUGCAUGUCAGUCCCACCAAAAAUCUCUGACGGUCACUAGGUUUACCUUUUCGGUCUGACCGAGUUUGUUGAUUCGGUCCCACUGAGAUUGGUAAAUUGUGUGUAACGGUUGGAUUUUAAGUGGAGGCUAUAUAUACCCCUCCACCUCCUCUUCAUUCGUGGAGAGAGCCAUCAGAACACAUCUACACUUCCAACUCAUAUGUUCUGAGAGAGAACUUCCUACCCUUGUGUUGAGACCAAGAUAUUCCAUUCCUACCAUAUGAUUCUUGAUCUCUAGCCUUCCCCAAGUUGCUUUCCACUCAAAUCUUCUUUCCACCAAAUCCAAAUCCUGUGAGAGAGAGUUGAGUGUUGGGGAGACUAUCAUUUGAAGCACAAGAGCAAGGAGUUCAUCAUCAACACACCAUUUGUUACUUCUUGGAGAGUGGUGUCUCCUAGAUUGGCUAGGUGUUACUUGGGAGCCUCCGACAAGAUUGUGGAGUUGAACCAAGGAGUUUGUAAGGGCAAGGAGAUCGCCUACUUCGUGAAGAUCUACCGCUAGUGAGGCAAGUCCUUCGUGGGCGAUGGCCAUGGUGGGAUAGACAAGGUUGCUUCUUCGUGGACCCUUCGUGGGUGGAGCCCUCCGUGGACUCGCGCAACCGUUACCCUUCGUGGGUUGAAGUCUCCAUCAACGUGGAUGUAGGAUAGCACCACCUAUCCGAACCACGGGAAAAACAUCCGUGUCUCCAAUUGCGUUUGAAUUCUCCAAACCCUUCCCUUUACAUUCUUGCAAGUUGCAUGCUUUACUUUCCGCUGCUCAUAUACUCUUUGCAUGCUUGCUUGAUAUGUAUUGUGUAUGUUGAAAUUGUGCCUAAAACUCCACUCAAACCGAAAAAGAUUAAAACUCCACUCCAAUUAGCACUAAGUGUCUAAUCACCCCCCUCUAGACACACCUACUUCUAGAUCCUACAGCCGGCCCCUCCUCGCUCCGCCUUCCUCCUCCGUCCUACUAUCUUCUCCCUCCUUGAGUCGCCCCUCCUUGUCCCUCCUCCCUGAUACAUUUUGAUUUAGUAGGCUUUCAUAUGUAACAUUUUGAUUUAGUUGAUAUGAUUCAGUUGAUUUAGUAGGCUAGUUGAUUUAGUUGAUUUAGAACAUUUUGAUUUAGUUUAUUUAGUAGGCUAGUUGAUUUAGUUGAUUCAGUAGGCUAGUUGAUUUAGAAUAUUUUGAUUUAGUUGAUUUAGUAUGCUAGUGGAUUUAGUAUGCUAGUGGAUUUAGUAUGCUAGUUGAUUUAGUUGAUUUAGUAUGCUCGAUUUAGUUUUUUUGUAAUAAGUUAUUUUUUGGCAAAAUGUAGGUGCCAAUUUAGUUAAAUUUGCCACUUGUUUCCUGUGAAGUGAAUCGUUAAUCCUGUGCUCAUAUUGCUUUAGGAAAAUGGCGCCACCACCGGCACCACUAUGUCGACUGUGCAAGUCAAGGUGCGCCAGCAGCCUUGCAACUGGCAAGCUGUUCGGCAUCUACUUCCAUCCGAGUUUUCAUCAUGCCGCGGUAAGAAAUUAGAUGAAAUGUAAUAAUUAUUUUAUUUUUAGUGUUGGCAUUACUGCAUUGUGUCAUUUUGCUUUUCUUACACAGAUCGUCCCAUGCAAUGUGAGGUUGAAAUUCAACAAGCUGACAGGAGACACUGUGACAUUUGAGGCUCCUGGGGGGCCGUACACUAUGGAGGUCGAGAAAGGACGCAAUAUGUCGCAGAUUGGAGGAGAUGGAUGGGCCCGUUUCCUUGCUCGCAUGCGUCUUACUGGUGGUGAGUUGAUCAGAUUCUCCUUCAGAGCAGAAAGACCAAAGCUGGUUGUCAUUUAUAUCAACCUGGUGGAAGAUGAUGAAGAUGACGAAGAUGAUGAAGAUAAUGAGGACCCACUCAAUGAAGAUGAUGAGAACCCACUUCAUGAAGCCAUCAUAGCUCAAAGAAUGAGGCUGAGCGAGGAGGAGGUGUGCAACCUAUGGGACAUAAUUCCGCCACGUGAUGACUUUGUCGGGGUGCCAUUCGUGACCCGCCUGACAAGUACCAUGGUCGAUCGGCAUGAAAUGGUAUGUUAUACGUAGAAUUCAUGAUUAAUUAGUACAAAUGCGUAGUACUGUGUCUUUUGAUAGUGUAGAAAUCUAGACUUAAUAGAAAUAUAUUUGCAAGAGUAUGUGUGAGGCUAUUUAUUAAUUGAUAUGUUUUUCUUAUUCAGAGAUUUGCCAAAGAACUUAUCUGUGAGUUGUGGUAUCGAGCCUGAUGAAGAAGGCUCAGUUGGACUACGCCUUACCGCAAGGGGCUCCGUCACCACAUGUACUUACCGCAUGGACACAGAUGGUCGCACACAGUUGAACUCGGUUGGGUGGAAGAGAUUCCUCGUUGGCAAGAAUCUUCGUGCUGGACAGGCCAUCCUAAUUACUAUCAGGAACACCCACCGCCCAGGCUUGAGGAUGAUGAUCGUUGUCGAUAUCAUCUAGAACUACAUAUGUUUGUGUGGCUAUAUCAUCUAGAACUACAUAUGAUGAUCGUCGUCGAUAUCAUGUAGAACUACAUAUGAUGAUCGUCGUCGAUAUCAUCUAGAACUAAAUAUGAUGAUUGUCGUCGAUGUCACCUUGUACUGCUUGAGGAUGCAUGUUGAGUAUAUAUGAAAUUGUUAUCUAGUACUCCCUCGGUUCCAAAUUACUCAUUGUGGUUUGAGUUCAAAUUUGAACUAAAACCACGACGAGUAAUUUCGAACCGAGGGAGUACUACCUAGUACCUAUAAUGCUUUAUGAAAUUGAUAUCUAGUAGUACCUAGUAUCUGGAAAUUGCAGUUUAUCGAAGCCGGAAUGGGGAAAUGGUGAAAGAUAUAACAGUAGCGCUGGACCGGGAAAUCGCUACAGCUAAAUAAUAGCAGCGCGUUCCUGAAAAGCGCUGCUGCUAUAGUCAAUAGUGGUAGCGCGGGUACAGGCAGCGCUACUACUAAGAGUUAGCUGUAGCGCCUUAUUGGUAGCGCGGGCACCAGCGCUGCUGAUAGGCCUAAAACCCGCGCUGCUGCUAGCCUUUUCCCUAGUAGUGUCCAGGUGUCGUGGCGGCUUCACGGUGGUUCGGCGGACCUGCCCGCGGCGGCGGCCGGCUUCUCCGGCGUCGGCUCUGUUGGGGAACGUAGUAAUUUCAAAAAAUUUCCUACGCACACGCAAGAUCAUGGUGAUGCAUAGCAACGAGAGGGGAGAGUGUUGUCUACGUACCCUCGUAGACCGAAGCGGAAGCGUUGACGCAACGUAGAGGAAGUAGUCGUACGUCUUCCCGAUCCGACCGAUCCAAGUACCGUUACUCCGGCACCUCCGAGUUCUUGGCACACGUUCAGCUCGAUGACGAUCCCCGGGCUCCGAUCCAGCAAAGCGUCAGGGAGGAGUUCCGUCAGCACGACGGCGUGGUGACGAUCUUGAUGUUUUAUUGUCGCAGGGCUUCGCCUAAGCACCGCUACAAUAUGACCGAGGUGGAAUAUGGUGGAGGGGGGCACCGCACACGGCUAAGGAACGAUCACGAAAAUCAACUUGUGUGUCAUGGGGUGCCCUCCUGCACUCGUAUAUAAAGGAGCAAGGGGGGAGGGGGCGGCCGGCCUAGGAGGAGGCGCGCCAAGGGGAGUCCUACUCCCACCGGGAGUAGGACUCCCUCCUUCCUUGUUGGAGUAGGAGAAGGGGAAAGAGGGGGAGAGGAAGAAGGAAAAGGGGGCUGCGCCCCUUGUCCAAUUCGGACCAGAGGGGGGGGGGCGCAGGCCUCCUUUCUUUUGGCCUCUCUCCUCUAUUCCCGUAUGGCCCAAUAAGGCCCAUAUACUCCCCGGCGAAUUCCCGUAACUCUCCGGUACUCCAAAAAAUACCCGAAUCACUCGGAACCUUUCCGAAGUCCGAAUAUAGUCGUCCAAUAUAUCGAUCUUUAUGUCUCGACCAUUUCGAGACUCCUCGUCAUGUCCCCGAUCUCAUCCGGGACUCCGAACUCCUUCGGUACAUCAAAACUCAUAAACUCAUAAUAUAACUGUCAUCGAAACCUUAAGCGUGCGGACCCUACGGUUCGAGAACAAUGUAGACAUGACCGAGACACGUCUCCGGUCAAUAACCAAUAGCGGAACCUGGAUGCUCAUAUUGGCUCCUACAUAUUCUACGAAGAUCUUUAUCGGUCAGACCGCAUAACAUCAUACGUUGUUCCCUUUGUCAUCGGUAUGUUACUUGUCCGAGAUUCGAUCGUCGGUAUCUCAAUACCUAGUUCAAUCUCGUUACCAGCAAGUAUCUUUACUCGUUCCGUAAUACAUCAUCUCGCAACUAACUCAUUAGUUGCAAUGCUUGCAAGGCUUAUGUGAUGUGCAUUACCGAGAGGGCCCAGAGAUACCUCUCCGACAAUCGGAGUGACAAAUCCUAAUCUCGAAAUACGCCAACCCAACAUGUACCUUUGGAGACACCUGUAGAGCUCCUUUAUAAUCACCCAGUUACGUUGUGACGUUUGGUAGCACACAAAGUGUUCCUCCGGCAAACGGGAGUUGCAUAAUCUCAUAGUCAUAGGAACAUGUAUAAGUCAUGAAGAAAGCAAUAGCAACAUACUAAACGAUCGGGUGCUAAGCUAAUGGAAUGGGUCAUGUCAAUCAGAUCAUUCAUCUAAUGAUGUGAUCCCGUUAAUCAAAUAACAACUCUUUGUCCAUGGUUAGGAAACACAACCAUUUUUGAUUAACGAGCUAGUCAAGUAGAGGCAUACUAGCGACACUCUGUUUGUCUAUGUAUUCACACAUGUAUUAUGUUUCCGGUUAAUACAAUUCUAGCAUGAAUAAUAAACAUUUAUCAUGAAAUAAGGAAACAAAUAAUAACUUUAUUAUUGCCUCUAGGGCAUAUUUCCUUCAGUCUACCACUUGCACUAGAGUCAAUAAUCUAGAUCACAUCGCCAUGUGAUUCAACAUAAAUAGUUCACAUCAUCAUGUGAUUAACACCCAUAGUUCACAUCAUCAUGUGACCAACACUCAAAGUGUUUACUAGAGUCAGUAAUCUAGUUCACAUCUCUAUGUGAUUAACACCCAAAGAGUACUAAGGUGUGAUCAUGUUCUGCUUGUGAGAGAAGCUUAGUCAACGGGUCUGCCAAAAUUCAGAUCCGUAUGUAUUUUGCAAAUUUCUAUGUCUACAAUGCUAUGCACGGAGCUACUUUAGCUAAUUGCUCCCACUUUCAAUAUGUAUCUAGAUUGAGACUUAGAGUCAUCUAGAUUAGUGUCAAAACUUGCAUCGAUGUAACCUUUUACGACGAACCCUUUUGUCAUGUCCAUAAUCGAGAAACAUAUCCUUAUUUCACUAAGGAUAAUUUUGACCGCUGUCCAGUGAUCUACUUCCUAGAUCACUAUUGUACUCCCUCGCUUAACACAGUGCAGGGUAUACAAUAGAUCUGGUACACAGCAUGGCAUACUUUAUAGAAUCUAUGGCUGAGGCAUAGGGAAUGACUUUCAUUCUCUUUCUAUCUUCUGCCGUGGUCGGGCUUUGAGUCUUACUCAAUUUCACACCUUGUAACACAGGCAAGAACUCUUUCUUUGACUGUUCCAUUUUGAACUACUUCAAAAACUUGCCAAGGUAUGUACUCAUUGAAAAAACUUAUCAAGCGUUUUGAUCUAUCUCUAUAGAUCUUGAUGCUCAAUAUGUAAGCAGCUUCACCGAGGUCCUUCGUCGAAAAACUCCUUUCAAAUACUCCUUUAUGCUUUGCAGAAUAAUUCUACAUUAUUUCCGAUCAACAAUAUGUCAUUUACAUAUACUUAUCAGAAAUGCAGUAGUGCUCCCACUCACUUUUUUGUAAAUACAGGCUUCAUCGCAAGUCUGUAUAAAACUAUAUGCUUUGAUCAACUUAUCAAAGCGUGUAUUCCAACUCCGAGAUGCUUGCACCAGUCCAUAGAUGGAUCGAUGGAGCUUGCAUAUUUGUUAACACCUUUAGGAUUUACAAAACCUUCUGGUUGCAUCAUAUACAACUCUUCUUUAAGAAAUCCAUUAAGGAUUACAGUUUUGUUAUCCAUUUGCCAGAUUUCAUAAAAUGCGGCAAUUGCUAACAUGAUUCGGACAGACUUAAGCAUAGAUACGAGUGAGAAACUCUCAUCGUAGUCAACACCUUGAACUUUGUCAAAAACCUUUUCCGACAAGUCUAGCUUUGUAGAUAGUAACACUACUAUCAGCGUCCGUCUUCCUCUUGAAGAUCCAUUUAAUCUCAAUGGCUUGCCCAUCACCGGGCAAGUCAACCAAAGUCCAUACUUUGUUCUCAUACAUGGAUCCUACCUCAGAUUUUAUGGCCUCAAACCAUUUCGCGGAAUCUGGGCUCAUCAUCGCUUCCUCAUAGUUCGCAAGUUCGUCAUGGUCUAGUAACAUGAUUUCCAGAACAGGAUUACCGUACCACUUUGGUGCGGAUCUCACUCUGGUUUACCUACGAGAUUCGGUAGUAACUUGAUCUGAAGUUACAUGAUCAUCAUCAUUAGCUUCCUCACUAAUUGGUGUAGUAGUCACAGGAACAGAUUUCUGUGAUGAACUACUUUCCAACAAGGGAGCAGGUACAGUUACCUCAUCAAGUUCUACUUUGCUCCCACUCACUUCUUUCGAGAGAAACUCCUUCUCUAGAAAGAAUCCAUUCUCAGCAACGAAUGUCUUGCCUUCGGAUCUGCGAUAGAAGGUGUACCCAACAUUUUCUUUUGGGUAUCCUAUGAAGACGCACUUCUCCGAUUUGGGUUUGAGCUUAUCAGGAUGAAACUUUUUCAUAUAAGCAUCGCAACCCCAAACUUUAAGAAACGACAACUUUGGUUUCUUGCCAAACCACAGUUCAUACGGUGUCGUCUCAACGGAUUUAGAUGGUGCCCUUUUUAACGUGAAUGCAGCUGUCUCUAAUGCAUAACCCCAAAACUAUAGUGGUAAAUCGGUAAGAAACAUCAUAGAUUGCACUAUAUCCAAUAAAGUACGGUUAUGACGUUCGGACACACCAUUAUGCUGUGGUGUUCCAGGUGGCGUGAGUAGUGAAUCUAUUUCUCAUUGUUUUAACUGAAGACCAAACUCGUAACUCAAAUAUUUGUCUCCGCGAUCAGAUCGUAGAAACCUUAUUUUCAUGUCACGAUGAUUUUCCACUUCACUCUGAAAUUCUUUGAACUGCUCAAAUGUUUCAGACUUAUGUUUCAUCAAGUAGAUAUACCCAUAUCUGCUCAAAUCGUCUGUGAACGUCAGAAAAUAAUGAUACUUGUCGCGAGCCUUAACACUCAUCGGAUCGCAUACAUCAGUAUGUAUUAUUUCCAAUAAGUCAGUUGCUCGCUCCAUUGUUCCGGAGAACGGAGUCUUAGUCAUCUUGCCCAUGAGGCAUGGUUCGCAAGCAUCAAGUGAUUCAUAAUCAAGUGAUUCAUAAUCAAGUGAUUCCAAAAGCCCAUCAGCAUGGAGUUUCUUCAUGCGCUUUACACCAAUAUGACCUAAACGGCAGUGCCACAAAUAAGUUGCACUAUCAUUAUUAACUUUGCAUCUUUUGGUUUCAAUAUUAUGAAUAUGUGUAUCACUAUGAUCGAGAUCCAACGAACCAUUUUCAUUGGGUGUGUAACCAUAUAAGGUUUUAUUCAUGUAAACAGAAUAACAAUUUAUUCUCUUACUUAAAUGAAUAACCGUAUUGCAAUAAACAUGAUCAAAUCAUAUUCAUGCUCAACACCAAAUAACACUUAUUUAGGUUCCACACUAAUCUCGAAAGUAUAGGGAGUGUGCGAUGAUGAUCAUAUCAAUCUUGGAACCACUUCCAACUCUCAUCGUCACAUCACCCUUAACUAGUCUCUGUUUAUUCUGCAACUCCCGUUUCGAGUUACUAAUCUUAGCAACUGAACUAUUAUCAAAUACUGAGGGGUUGCUAUAAACACUAGUAAAGUACACAUCAAUAACAUGUAUAUCAAAUAUACUUAUGUUCACUUUGCCAUCCUUCUUAUCCGCCAAUCACUUGGGGUAGUUCCGCUUCCAUUGACCAGUCUCUUUGCAGUAGAAGCACUUAGUCUCAGGCUUAGGACCAGACUUGGGUUUCUUCACUUGAGCAGCAACUUGCUUGCUAUCCUUUUUGAAGUUCCCCUUCUUCCUUUUGCCCUUUUCUUGAAACUAGUGGUCUUGUCUACCAUCAACACUUGAUGUUUUUCUUGAUUUCUACCUUCGUCGAUUUUAGCAUCACGAAGAGCUUGGGAAUCGUUUCCAUUAUCCCUUGCAUAUUAUAGUUCAUCACUAAGUUCUACUAACUUGGUGAUGGUGACUAGAGAAUUCUGUCAAUCACUAUUUUAUCUGGAAGAUUAACUCCCACUUGAUUCAAGCGAUUGUAGUACCCAGACAAUCUGAGCACAUGCUCACUAGUUGAGCGAUUCUCCUCCAUCUUUUAGCUAUAGAACUUGUUGGAGACUUCAUAUCUCUCAACUCGGGUAUUUGCUUGAAAUAUUAACUUCAACUCCUGGAACAUCUCAUAUGGUCCAUGACGUUCAAAACGUCUUUGAAGUCCCGAUUCUAAGCCGUUAAGCAUGGUGCACUAAACUAUCAAGUAGUCAUCAUAUUGAGCUAGCCAACCGUUCAUAACGUCUGCAUCUGCUCCUGCAAUAGGUCUGUCACCUAGCGGUGCAUCAAGGACAUAAUUCUUCUGUGCAGCAAUGAGGAUAAACCUCAGAUCACGGAUCUAAUCCGCAUCAUUGCUACUAACAUCUUUCAACACAAUUUUCUCUAGGAACAUAUCAAAAUAAACAUACGAAAGCAACAACGCAAGCUAUUGAUCUACAACAUAGAUAUGCUAAUACUACCAGGACUAAGUUCAUGAUAAAUUUAAGUUCAAUUAAUCAUAUUACUUAAGAACUCCCACUUAGAUAGACAUCCCUCUAAUCCUCUAAGUGAUCACGUGAUCCAAAUCAACUAACCAUAACCGAUCAUCACAUGAAAUGGAGUAGCUUUCAAUGGUGAACAUCACUAUGUUGAUCAUAUCUACUAUAUGAUUCACGCUCGACCUUUCGGUCUCAGUGUUCCGAGGCCAUAUCUGCAUAUGCUAGGCUCGUCAAGUUUAACCUGAGUAUUCUGCGUGUGCAAAACUGGCUUGCACCCGUUGUAGAUGGACAUAGAGCUUAUCACACCCGAUCAUCAUGUGGUGUCUGUGCACGACGAACUUUGGCAACGGUGCAUACUCAGGGAGAACACUUAUACCUUGAAAUUUAGUGAGAGAUCAUCUUAUAAUGCUACCGUCAAACAAAGCAAGAUAAGAUGCAUAAAAGAUAAACAUCACAUGCAAUCAAUAUAAGUGAUAUGAUAUGGCCAUCAUCAUCUUGUGCUUGUGAUCUCCAUCUCCGAAGCACCGUCAUGAUCACCAUCGUCACCGGCGCGACACCUUAAUCUCCAUCGUAGCAUCGUUGUCGUCUCGCCAAUCUUAUGCUUCUACGACUAUCACUACCGCUUAGUGAUAAAGUAAAGCAUUACAGGGCGAUUGCAUUGCAUACAAUAAAGCGACAACCAUAUGGCUCCUGCCAGUUGCCGAUAACUCGGUUACAAAACAUGAUCAUCUCAUACAAUAAAAUUUAGCAUCAUGCCUUGACCAUAUCACAUCACGACAUGCCCUGCAAAAACAAGUUAGACGUCCUCUACUUUGUUUGUUGCAAGUUUUACGUGGCUGCUACGGGCUUAAGCAAGAACCAACCUUACCUACGCAUCAAAACUACACCGAUAGUUUGUCAAGUUGAUGCCGUUUUAACCUUCGCAAGGACCGGGCGUAGCCACACUCGGUUCAACUAAAGUUGGAGAAACUGACACCCGCCAGCCACCUGUGUGCAAAGCACGGCGGUAGAACCAGUCUCGCGUAAGCGUACGCGUAAUGUCGGUCCGGGCCGCUUCAUCCAACAAUACCGCCGAACCAAAGUAUGACAUGCUGGUAGGCAGUAUGACUUAUAUCGCCCACAACUCACUUGUUUCUACUCGUGCAUAUAACAUCAAACCAUAAAACCUGGGCUCGGAUGCCACUGUUGGGGAACGUAGUAAUUUCAAAAAAUUUCCUACGCACACGCAAGAUUAUGGUGAUGCAUAGCAACGAGAGGGGAGAGUGUUGUCUACGUACCCUCGUAGACCGAAGCGGAAGCGUUGACGCAACAUAGAGGAAGUAGUCGUACGUCUCCUGAUCCGACCGAUCCAAGUACCAUUACUCCGGCACCUCCGAGUUCUUGGCACACGUUCAGCUCGAUGACGAUCCCCGGGCUCCGAUCCAGCAAAGCGUCAGGGAGGAGUUCCGUCAGCACGACGGCGUGGUGACGAUCUUGAUGUUUUAUUGUCGCAGGGCUUCGCCUAAGCACCGCUACAAUAUGACCGAGGUGGAAUAUGGUGGAGGGGGGCACCGCACACGGCUAAGGAACGAUCACGAAAAUCAACUUGUGUGUCAUGGGGUGCCCUCCUGCACUCGUAUAUAAAGGAGCAAGGGGGGAGGGGGCGGCCGGCCUAGGAGGAGGCGCGCCAAGGGGAGUCCUACUCCCAUCGGGAGUAGGACUCCCUCCUUCCUUGUUGGAGUAGGAGAAGGGGAAAGAGGGGGGGAGGAAGAAGGAAAAGGGGGCUGCGCCCCUUGUCCAAUUCAGACCAGAGGGUGGGCGCAGGCCUCCUUUCUUUUGGCCUCACUCCUCUAUUCCCGUAUGGCCCAAUAAGGCCCAUAUACUCCCCGGCGAAUUCCCGUAACUCUCCGGUACUUCGAAAAAUACCCGAAUCACUCGGAACCUUUCCGAAGUCCGAAUAUAGUCGUCCAAUAUAUCGAUCUUUAUGUCUCGACCAUUUCGAGACUCCUCGUCAUAUCCCCGAUCUCAUCCGGGACUCCGAACUCCUUCGGUACAUCAAAACUCAUAAACUCAUAAUAUAACUGUCAUCGAAACUUUAAGCGUGCAGACCCUACGGUUCGAGAACAAUGUAGAAUGACCGAGACACGUCUCCUGUCAAUAACCAAUAGCGGAACCUGGAUGCUCAUAUUGGCUCCUACAUAUUCUACGAAGAUCUUUAUCGGUCAGACCGCAUAACAUCAUAUGUUGUUCCCUUUGUCAUCGGUAUGUUACUUGCCCAAGAUUCGAUCGUCGGUAUCUCAAUACCUAGUUCAAUCUCGUUACCAGCAAGUAUCUUUACUCGUUUCGUAAUACAUCAUCUCGCAACUAACUCAUUACUUGCAAUGCUUGCAAGGCUUAUGUGAUGUGCAUUACCGAGAGGGCCCAGAGAUACCUCUCCGACAAUCGGAGUGACAAGUCCUAAUCUCGAAAUACGCCAACCCAACAAGUACCUUUGGAGACAUCUGUAGAGCUCCUUUAUAAUCACCCAGUUACGUUGUGACGUUUGGUAGCACACAAAGUGUUCCUCCAGCAAACGGGAGUUGCAUAAUCUCAUAGUCAUAGGAACAUGUAUAAGUCAUGAAGAAAGCAAUAGCAACAUAUUAAACGAUCGGGUGCUAAGCUAAUGGAAUGGGUCAUGUCAAUCAGAUCAUUCAUCUAAUGAUGUGAUCCCGUUAAUCAAAUAACAACUCUUUGUCCAUGGUUAGGAAACACAACCAUCUUUGAUUAACGAGCUAGUCAAGUAGAGGCAUACUAGUGACACUCUGUUUGUCUAUGUAUUCACACAUGUAUUAUGUUUCCGGUUAAUACAAUUUUAGCAUGAAUAAUAAACAUUUAUCAUGAAAUAAGGAAAUAAAUAAUAACUUCAUUAUUGCCUCUAGGGCAUAUUUCCUUCAGGCUCGUCUGUGUUCGGGCCGUCUCGGCCUUGGCCCCAUCUCCUCAUCGCCCGGGCGUUACUCCUAUCAUAGGGUUGGUCCUCUCCUAGCUGCGGUCUACCGCUCGUCUCGCGCCCAGUGCUGCAGGAUAGAGCUCGUCUCGCACACGAUGCAGCUGGACUGAGCUCGUCUCGCGCACGGUGCGGCAGGACUGACCUCGUCCCCUUCUCGGUGCUGCAGGACCAAGCUCGUCUCGCGCACGAGGCAGCAGGACGGGCCUAUGGAUGCCAGUUCUGGCCGACCUAUCGGGUCUCGACGCUGGGUGUCGCCCAGGGGUGCGAAAGGUGGGACCUUUCCGCUCGUCUCUCUCGUUGGGGUUGCGGCGGUUCUCGGGUAAGGUGAUGUCAAGGUCUUGGAUGCCGGGGCGGCGGCCCUGGUGGUGGUUGCGCGGUGCUCUUGGGCAAAGCCCGUGCCUUGGUGCUGCCCGGCCAUCAUGGCCGUGUGGGCGGCGUGGUUGCCGGGGUGUGGCGUUCGGUGGUUGUGAGUGCUGGCCGAGGUGAAAACCUGUUCUAUCUUCGGACGGACCGGCGGCGGCGGAGAUCGUUCCCUUCUUGAAGGCGUCGUCGCGGCUCUCAUUGCCCAUCAUGCGGCUCUAGGGGAAACUCUGCAGGUCCCGCAGCUUGAAGCUGCAGAUAAUUCGUCGAAACGAAUAUAUGUAUAUGGCAGGUCUUAGCAGCCUACUCCUGAAGCUAGAUGGAAGAACAAACUUAGACAUCCAAGAAAAAUAGUCCACCUGAUUGCUAGAUCUCACUGCUCCUGCAACACCUGCAGACCUUUUUUUUAUGUAUAUGGAUAAGCUAUGGAUAGUCCACUCUCCACUCCCAUAAAAGCGGCCACUUUUUUUACAUGGUUGGAAUUUCUGAUGUGUAUGGUAAGUUUGGAGGAGGUAUUGAGCAAGUUACAUUUUCUUUCUUUGGCAGUGUAUGGUAAGUUUGGAGGAGGUAUAGUGCAGAGCAGAGCAGGGGAGGUAUAUGCUUUUUGUAACUGCUGCUAUUUAUUUUCUCAUUAAUUUUGCAUUCCAAGUUCUGUUACUUUGAACAACUAGUUUUAUCAACUAACUGGGGGCGUGCAUUUGUUCUAUUCAGCUGGCCGCAAACAGAGAACGUUGUGCUCCUAAACAACUAGUACUAUCUUCAGCAAAGCUAGCCAACCAGGGACCUAGAAUCUCCAUCACUCCAUCACCUCGAGUCUCAAGCAAUGGGCAGUGAACUGCUCGCAGCAA